rnacentral:lncRNA from 1 species
UGUGCGCUGACAAACCUUGUAGGAAUUAGAGCAGCAAGAACAAGAGGAAGAAGAGAGACACACUAGAUGUAUAGAAAUUGAAAUCUUAUUUUUUAGAUGCAUAGAAAUUGAAAUCUUAUUUUUUGGAUGCUUAGAAAUUGAAAUCUUAUUUUUUUAUAAAUAGAAAUAAACUUCUUUUCAUCCAAGCUGUGACUUUUCUAUGCUUAUCUUUAAUAUAGUGUGAAUAAAAUUAAAAUUAUUUUUGGGUACAUAGAAAUUGAAAUCUUAAUUCUUGGAUGCAUCGGAAUUUUUGGGUGCAUAGAAAUUAAAAUCUUUGGUAUGUUUCUAUGUCUUUCUUACUAUUGCCCUGAAGCUUCUCCGGAUCGAGUGCCUAGCAGGCUAUUCUUGCUUCCACACUGCGUCACAUGCUGCAAGCCACUCAAACCACUGCAAGAUUUGUAUUUCAUGAUUUUUUAAUCUGUUCAAGGCAUUUCAAGAUCUUUAUGCAAUUUUAGAAUGGAUGUUCUCGCAAAUACAAAUUGGUAAUUAGAUUAUUUGUGGGGAUGCCGGCCACUAGUUCUAGAAAUUUAUCUUUUUUUUUUUACUUUUCUUUGGUUACUAUGCUUUGCAUGCAUAAUUUUCUAUGCAUGGUGAAAGUGUGUUUUCAGACUUGAUUAGAAUAAAAAAAGUAUAUGUCUAUGCAUGAAUUUUUAUAUAGAAGUUGUUUGUUAUACCUGAGUAAAAUGUCAAAUUUGUACUUAUUAUCUGCUCGGCGACUUUUGGGGGGGGGGCAUGUUAGGCUUGUUCCUGGGUUUAUGCAUGAAUUGGUUCUAUACUUGAUGACUUAGGUUUUUACGCGUUCAGUUCACAUGUGUGAUAUGUGAUUACGGCUGUAACAAACCUUUAGGCUUGAACGAUGUUAGUCCAUACCCCCAACCUAACCGUGGUUGUCAUACGAUCCUUUUAUUACCAAAUGUAUAUCCUUAAAUGUUUUAUAAACUGAUUUUUUUUCACCUGUCUUUUCGCAUGACCACAUAUGUUGUCAAUCCAAACAUUUCUCAUAUUGACACAUGACCACCUCGACAUUUCAUAGUGUAUGUAUAUAUCUUUUUAUAUUCGCCAGGCCUAUACUCUUUUCAAUUUUUAGCAACACCCAACAACGGUGCUGAAGAAAAUUUUUAUGCAUAUACAUACAAAAUUCCUAUGCAUCCUGAGUAUUCUAUCCUAAGAAGAAUUUCUAUGUAACGCAUCAUGAUCAACACGGAUAGCGCAUUCCAUCAUGAGCAGAAGGUGGCUAGAGAAAAUUUUUAUGUAUAUAUAUACAAAAUUUAUGUUUCACAGCAUGCAUACAAAAGUUUCUAUGCAUAUUUUAAGAUGACUUGAAUGCAGGUUCUAUGCGUCAUGAUGAGAAACAAGCUAGGCCUGAUCCAGUAGAGGCACGCGGUGUGGACCUGCCGAAGUACACAUUGCAUGCUUGUAUGUAUUGGUAUGUAUUCUAUAUAUUGUUGGAACAGAUUUCUAUACAGUAUUGGAGCACAGUUCUAUAAUUUGUUGGAACAGCUAUUUGUGCAGCUAUUUCUGGAUGGAUGAUAGUUUAUAGCCAUGAUUUUCUCUUAGCUACACUUUCAGCCAUGAUUUUUUUCAUUAUUCUAGAGAUAUUAAUUUCACGAAUAGGUUUUCUAUCAUGAUAUUUCAUGACAGAAGCCAGUGCUCCUCUAUUAAUUAUACCCCAUGUUAAUUUCUAGUAUGCUCCACUAUGUUAAUUUCUAUGCAUUGUUAAAUUUCUAUACAUUGUUAAUUUUCUUAGUGAAAUUGAUUUUCUACAUAUCAUUAAUUUCUUGUAUGCUCCUCCAUGUUAAUUUCCAUGCUUCAUGUGUGAUGGAUGGUGUUUCUUGCAGCUAUAAGGUUUUUGCGCAUACUAAAACAUGUUUCUAUGCCUUUCUUUACCACCGUAAGUUUUUUUACGUCUGCUCAAAUAUGUUUCUAUGUCUUUGUGGUGUAGGAUGGUUGGAAGGAUUCCUCUAUUUUUGGUGUGAGGUCAAUGGUGGCUCGGACAUCAUAGGACAUGACUUGCGACGUUCACAACUUCCUUAGUUUGUGAUGGUGGCGUAGUGUGAUAUUCGAUAUAGUUGAUGGAUUAAUGUAAAAAGUUAGUUUUUCAUAUGUUGUGUUUAUAUGCUUGGAUAAUAUGAGCGAAAGUAUUGAUUUCUAUGUAACCUCUGUUGGGUUUCAAUAUUUGGUUAACUGAGUGUCUAUGCAUGUUGUGAGUUGGGAACAUUAUGGAUAGUCCACACUAGUAGUGUUUUGUAUGUUUCAUUCCCGUAAAAGGAAGUAUGGUGUAAAGUUUCUAUACAUUGUUGCUCUAUUAAAUAAAUAUGUCCUCGUGCAAAGAACGGUGUGGGUAUGGGUAGUGAUGGUCUUAGUUGUAAUACACCCCCAUAGCAGGAAGCAUGAUGUUGUUUUAGACAAUCAUGGUUGUGUCAGGUGGAAUGUCCAUCUUAUGUAGAGGUUUUUACGCAGCAAUGAAUUUAAUUUUUAUUCAUUGAACUACUAAUUUGUAUGCAACAUGGCACUAAAACCUUUAUGCGCAUCUUGACUAUUGAUUCUAUGUACCUACUAAGUCAUCACGUGCCAGCAUUCAAAUUUCAAAUUUUGAAGAAGACAAGAUCGUCUCCAUGUGGAGAUGUUUCUAUGCGGUAACAAAAUUAAUUUUUAUUCAUACAACCACUAAUUUCUAUUCAACGUCGGCGCCAAAAACUUUGCUACGCAUUUUGACCAGUGAUUCUAUGCAUUUAAUCGGUUGUUAUGUGUCAUGAUUCAAAUUUCAAAUUUUAAAAAACACGAGGUCGUCUUGAUGUUUCUUGCUCACAAGAUCUAUUCGGAUGUAUAAAACUUUGUCUCAUAGUGCGUAAAAUUAUGAAUUUUUAUUUUUUUUUUCAAAAAUAUAUUCACAAUGGAUCUUGAAUUGUGCACAAAAAUAUCAGGAGUUCAAUGGUGAAAACCGUUUUUGAAUCGGAUGUUUCGUUGAGAAAUUGUCGUGAAAAAACAGAAGAGAUUAGAGUGGACGUACGCAUACAGACAUGUGUCAGUAUGUGUCAGUCUAUGUCAGCUAUUGUGAGGUGUAACGUCCAGAUUACAGAGAGAUUUUUAUGCAGUAACGAAUUGAUUUUAAUUUAUACAACAACUAGAUUUUAUGCAUUGUCGCGAUAAAAACCUUUCUAGAUAGCCUGACAUAUGAUUUUAUGCAUCCAAACGUUUGGGUCUUCAGAGGUCUCCACCUGCAUGCGCGUCAGCUUUAUGGAGGUUGGGUGAAGUAGUUGAUUGGCUAGGGCUUCCAAUAUCUAAUUGUAGNNNNNNNNNNNNNNNNNNNNNNNNNNNNNNNNNNNNNNNNNNNNNNNNNNNNNNNNNNNNNNNNNNNNNNNNNNNNNNNNNNNNNNNNNNNNNNNNNNNNNNNNNNNNNNNNNNNNNNNNNNNNNNNNNNNNNNNNNNNNNNNNNNNNNNNNNNNNNNNNNNNNNNNNNNNNNNNNNNNNNNNNNNNNNNNNNNNNNNNNNNNNNNNNNNNNNNNNNNNNNNNNNNNNNNNNNNNNNNNNNNNNNNNNNNNNNNNNNNNNNNNNNNNNNNNNNNNNNNNNNNNNNNNNNNNNNNNNNNNNNNNNNNNNNNNNNNNNNNNNNNNNNNNNNNNNNNNNNNNNNNNNNNNNNNNNNNNNNNNNNNNNNNNNNNNNNNNNNNNNNNNNNNNNNNNNNNNNNNNNNNNNNNNNNNNNNNNNNNNNNNNNNNNNNNNNNNNNNNNNNNNNNNNNNNNNNNNNNNNNNNNNNNNNNNNNNNNNNNNNNNNNNNNNNNNNNNNNNNNNNNNNNNNNNNNNNNNNNNNNNNNNNNNNNNNNNNNNNNNNNNNNNNNNNNNNNNNNNNNNNNNNNNNNNNNNNNNNNNNNNNNNNNNNNNNNNNNNNNNNNNNNNNNNNNNNNNNNNNNNNNNNNNNNNNNNNNNNNNNNNNNNNNNNNNNNNNNNNNNNNNNNNNNNNNNNNNNNNNNNNNNNNNNNNNNNNNNNNNNNNNNNNNNNNNNNNNNNNNNNNNNNNNNNNNNNNNNNNNNCUUUAGAAAUACUAUUUGUAAGGGGGGUUGGGUCACCAGCCGCCCUUACAAAUGAUAUUUCUAAGGGCGGCUGAUAACACUAGCCGCCCUUACAAAUGUAUUUGUAAGAGCGGCUGGAGCACCCGCCCUUAUAAAUGUUUUAUUUGUAAGUGCGAGGCCGGAGGGGCGGCUGAGCCAGCCGCCUUUAUAGAGGGUUUCUAACCGCCCCUAGAAACCAAUUCUGUAGUAGUGCUCAUCUCUAGCUCCAACAGCAAGUUGGAUUUAUAUUUAAUUUAAACUUUAAACAGAAUACAUAUGGUUUAUGUAAAUGUUCUCAAUGUACCUCUAACUUCAGAUUUAUUCGUAAGAUUUCUGCAUUUCUGCAGAGGGUACAUUUCACUUCGAUGUAGAUAUAUACAUAGUAUAAGCUUCAUGCGUAGUAAGAGAGCCGAGCAAAUCGAGGUAUGGUAAUGUCACUGUACUUUAAUAAUGAUGCAAGAAUAAUGUUGCUCGUAAUCAUAAACAACAAACGACGAGCACAUAGUCGGCAGUAGGAAUUGCUCUUUGUUCUGACAGGUGACUAUAGGUAAUUAACGCUGCAGUCGUGGAGGUUUUACUGAGUUUUAUAGAUAUUAAAUAAUUAAGCUGACAUGACAUAGUUAUACGAAGAAAGAUGAUAAAUGUUUUCAUAAAAUGAAUUAAGGCCUUGUUUAGUUCCCUCCAAAAACCAAAAAGUUUUCAAGAUUCUCCGUCACAUCGAAUCUUGCGGCACAUGCAUGAAGCAUUAAAUAUAGACAAAAACAAAAACUAAUUACACAGUUUGCCUAUAAACCGCGAGACGAAUCUUUUGACCUUAGUUAGUUUAUGAUUGAACAAUAUUUACCACAAACAAAUGAAAGUGCUACAGUAGCGAAAUCCAAAAAGUUUUCGCAUCUAAACAAGGCCUAAGUCUCUGGGGGAAUAAAAUUUAUGUACACUAUGUCUGACAUAUAUAUGUUAGCUUUGAAAAUAGAAACAUGAAACCCCACUGAUUCUAGUCUUCGCUUUAGGUAGUACAAGACGUCUGUUAGAUCCAGUAAUGUUCCUUUGAAAAGUACAAGUGCGUGCAACCGUGAAAAGGAAUAUAUCUAGCUCGGGUAUAUACACCAGACUUCUACUAAUAAACGCAAAAUUGUACGUGCAUAGAGAGCAAUUAUGAAAGUUUGAUUUGUUGGGCGAUAUUAUAUAUAGGCCAUAAUAGUUGUAAAAGAACUAUGGUAAUUAAAAAUUAAAACUCUCUCUUUCCCUUCGAAUAAACUGCGACAACUAUUUUUAUAAGAUUUCAGGUGUCUGAUUUAGUUUUUAUUUUAGACAACGGUUAUUGCAUAUACUUUAUACUAAAAUAAAACCCCCAUUAGACAAAACCAUAAACCUAACAAAAUCUGAUAUGUGUUGGCGGUUGCCACAAAGAACUCUUAACAAUUUACAAUGAUUUCUAUAGUUAGACAAUGACAAAAAAUUGAUAUGUUAUGACACAAAGAAAAAUAACAUAUCACAAAAUGGACAAUUUACUUGUACUAAUUUAUAGUACAUGUAUCUGAAACCAUCUUAAAAUCAGGCACCUGAAACAUAGGAGAAGUGUAUUAUAUUUCAAAACAACUAUUUAUUUUGCAAGUCGGAUUAAAGUUUUUUAGAGAAGACAGAUCGUCAAGAGAGGAAAAAGAAGCUGGGCCCACCUACUUUGGCCAUCUUCUCCUUUUCAUCUUGAUGGGCUUAGAAGGAGGCCAUUUACAAUCCACUCUAAUUUAGCACAAGAGAACUUCACUUUGUGAACCCUUGUGGGGUUGCGGUAGGAGUCCGAUGCUACUAUCAAAUUGGUUUUUUUGUUAAUGUUAUGUAAAAUCAAGUACAAGCAAAGUACAAAUAGUUGUAUCAAAGAUGGUAGCUUAUGGCAAUUUAGUGUGUGUAUGCUUUUGUUUUUUAGUGGCAGGAAGCGGGAGAACGGAAGAUUAUUUAGAUCGGCGGAGGUCUGGAUCAGAGCCGGGUGCCUCAAUAGUUUUCUAGAUGAAAAGGGAACGGAUCUAUUUUUUUUUACAAAAUUCGUGUUUUGUCUUGAGAAACUGACCUUUGAAACUAUGCAGUGUGUUUGUCAAAGUUCGAUGCCUUUACUGUAUUUGUUUAGACUGGUUGUUAUUCCACUGUAUUCUUGCUGUUGACCAGCGUCUAGGUCGCCAUCAUAGAAUAAACAUAAACAUUAAUAAGCAUUGUUAAAGGACUAAGUGAAGUCAUUGCAGUCUCAUCCCAAAUAAGCAAAUUCGCCGUAUGCAGUAACUGAACAGUGCCACCAUGCUUUGUGAAAUUGUAUAUGUUAUUAUCAGUAAGCUUAAUUGGGAUGUCCACCACACAAUAUUGACACUACAUUAUAUAUAAGAUGUGAAUUUUAAUAAAUAUGACUGCUUGUUUUGCUUUUUAUAAAAAUUUUAUAUGUUGUUUUAUAUGUAUUUUUUUGUUAGCACGGGCAUGCUAUCAAGUUUAAGUAGAAUUUCCAUAUUUUUUCAAAUUUGUAAUGAUAGGUUGUUUAUCAAGUUUAAUUUGAUGAAUAUGUAUUAACUUUAUACGUCGCCGUAGCGUUAACAAAGUAAAUAUAAUAAUUUUUAUGUGUGGGGUAUGAAAGAGCAUCUAGGCCCCUAGUGAUUUCGGUGAUUAAUGACAAUGUUGUUUACUAUGACUAACGUGUGUUUUGCAGAGGCAAAGUCAUAGGUAAGGUCAUAGUAAUAGGUACUCGAUGGACAUGGACGUACAUGCCUACUUAAUAGUGGAAAUCGUUUCGGUUUUCAAAGGAUGGAUGGACAUCGUCAAGACUAGACUAGGUCUAAGUGCCAUAUGGUGAAGAAGGGCACUUAGAGUAGUUUAAGACUUUGUUUUCCUUUAACCGUACUAUUAAGAGGGGCUUUGAUCUAGUAGCUUGACUUAGGCAAGGCUUUAGGUUUAGGUGUGGUGCACACUUGGUAAACCUAGCACUAGGCAGCUCAGAGAUAGUCCUUAGAUCGAGAGGAACCAACUUCGUUCUGGAGCGAUCGCGUUUCGACGAAGUUAGGGUGCCCAAGGGGGCACCGGACGCUGCGAGUGGGUCCGGUGAGGUCCUUAACCGUUGGGAGGUCUUGGUGGUUAGGGUUAGCCACCGGACACUGGCACCGGACUCACCGGGCAGCGUCCGGUCCCACACCCAGGGAGGUUGUAAACCUCCCUUGAGCACUGGACGCUAGCACCGGACGCACUGGGUAGUGUCCGGUCCCGUACUCAGGGAGUUUGUAAAACUACACCGAGCACCGGACGGUACCACCAGACGCUGAGAGUUAGCGUCCGGUGACCUGUCAAACGCAGGUACAGUUAGCCGUUGUGUGUCACCGGACGCUCAGUGCAGAGCGUCCGGUGCAACAUUAACAGCGUCCGGUGACCCCGUUUUCAGUGGAAAACGGUUGGCUGACCUUUGGACUUCGUGGGAGUAUUCAUACUCCUCCACCUCGUCCAUGAGAGGUCUCUUGCCCAUUUGAACAUCUAAGAAACUUGUUGUGGAGCAAGAGAGUAGCAAGAGCCUAGAGAGGAUUGAGAUUUGAGUGAUUUCUUGAGAGAAUCCUUCUCUAGUGAAUUCCAAGAGUCAAGUGUGCAUCCACCACUCUCUAGAGCCUUGUUUGGGUCAAGUGAGAGUUCUUUGCUUGUUACUCUUGGUGAUCGCCAUCACCUAGACGGUUUGGUGGUGAUUGGAGGCACGAAGCCGUUCGGAGUUCUUGUGUGUGGCUCGUGUCAAGCUUGUGAGCGGUUUUGGGCGAUUCACCGCGACGGAGUGUCGAAGAAUCAGCCCGUAGAGAGCACUUGGUCCUUGCGCGGACCAAGGGGGAGCAAGACCCUUGCGCGGGUGCUCCAACGAGGACUAGUGGAGAGUGGCGACUCUCCAAUACCUCGGCAAAACAUCACCGAACACUUUCUUCCACUACUCCUUUACAUUCUAGCAUUUACUUUGUGUCUUUACAUUCUUAGAAUUGCCUUGCUAGAAUAGGAUUGGAACUAGGUCGCAAAACUUUUAUCUGGUAGCUCUCUAGUCACACUAGGCACAAGGGGUUGAAUUGAAGCUUAUAGGUUGCUUAAAUUUUUAGAGAAGCCCAAUUCAGCCCCCCUCUUAGGUAUCUUGAUCCUUUCAAUUGGUAUCGGAGCAAGGUGCUCAUUUUUUUUGGCUUCACCGCCUAGAGAAAGAUGUCUAACGGGGAUGGACCGCCACCCAUGUUCGAUGGGGAUGACUUCCCGUAUUGGAAAAUAUGAAUAGAGUCAUACCUUGAGGCAUGCGAUGUAAAGUGCCUAAAAGCCGCGACCGAAGGGUUUACCCCUCCGGAAAAGGACACCGCUCUUACUCCACAAGAGCAAGAAAACGAGAAGUGGAAUGCGAAGGCCAAAAACCACAUCUUUAGUGGCCUUUGCAAAGAGGUGUUCAACCGCGCUCGGAGCCACAAAACCGCCAAUGCUCUUUGGAAGGAACUUUGUGCGCUCCAUGAGGGAUCAAAGAGUGAAUGUGAGGAACGCUAUCACUUGGUGAUGAACAAGCUUAAUACAUUUGAGAUGCUUCCUAAAGAAAAUGCUAAUGAAAUGUAUUCUCGCUUGAAUGUUAUUGUAGAUGAGCUUAAUGGACUUGGGCUCACUCAAAUGAGUGCAGCGGAUGUCGCAAGGAAGAUACUAUGUGUGCUUCCCAUUGACAAAUAUGGGCACAUAGUAACGGUGCUUCACCAAGGCGAUCUCUCCACCGCUACACCAACCGCCAUAUUGGGGAAGAUCAAUGCUCAUGAGAUGUAUAUGCACAUGAACCCCCAAGAUGGCUCCUCAUCGGCCAAGAAGGAGAAGAAGGACUUGGCCCUCAAAGCUUCUCACAAGGGCAAAGACAAGAAGAUUGAAGUUGAGUCAUCAACUUCAAGUGAUGAUGAUCCAUCCAUUGCCCUCAUGGUGAGAAGAACCACCAAGAUGUUGAAGAAGCUCAACAAGAACGGAGUCAACUUUGACUCCAAGAAGAAGAAGUUCUUCACAAGUAGCAAGAGAAAGCCCAUCUCCGAGAUGGAUUGCUACAAUUGUGGUGAGCUUGGCCAUCUUGCUCAUCAAUGUCCAAAGCCCAAGAAGGACAAAUACAAGAAGAAGAGCAAAGAGCAAGAUGACUCAAGUGAUGAUGAGAAGAACGAAAAGAAGCCAUACAAGAAGAAAGGUGGCAAGAAGAAGGAGCAUUACAAGAAGAAGAAUGGCAAGGCUUACAUUGUUGGUGAUUGGCUCACCGACAUUGAGAGCUCUAGUGGUGACUCCUCCGGCAAUGAGAGUGAUGAUGAGAAGGUUGCCGCCAUAGCCAUCGAUGCUCCAUCACCAUCAUCUUCACCACCAUCUACAUCCUCUACACACCUAUGCCUCAUGGCUAAGGGUGAUCGGAAGGUACAAAGUGAGGAUGAGAGUAGUGAAAGUGAUAGUGAAUACGAAUCACCUUCUUAUGAUGAACUUGUAAAAUUGCUUAACAAGUACACAAAAUUCAUAAGAAAAUCUAAAAGUGAAAAUGAAAAGCUUGAACUUGAAAAUGAAACACUUCUAGCAAAGCUUAAGUCUAGUGAUGAGCUUAGAGACCAAAAUGAGAUCAUGACCACUAAACUCAAGGAGCUAAAACUCUCUUUAAAAGAGCUCAAAGAAAAACAUGAUAAACUUGAGAGUGUUCAUGAUGAGCUCAUCACUAGAUGUAGAGCAAUGAAAGAAGAGCUAACAACUCAAAAAGCAAACUAUGACAACCUUGAAAUUGCUUAUGAACUUGCAAUUGAUGAAACACAUGGUGCUACUAACCAUGUUGCUAAGCUUGAUGUAGCCACAUCUUGUGAUGACUUACUUGUGGAAAGCACAAGCAAAUGUGUUGAUUGCAAGGGCAAGAAAGUGGUAGUGGCCGAGAGCUAUGAGGACACUAUCAAGCUCAAGGAUGAAAUUAUCAUGCUCAAGAAAGAGUUCCAAGAGCAAGCCAAGCACAAGACCAUUGUGAUUGAGUCACUUGAUCAAGACAAGAAGCUUGCAUAUGAGAACAAGCUACUCAAAGAAGAAAACCAAUAUCUCAAGCUUGGUUUGAUGUAUGACAAGCAAGAGGAAGAUGAGACAUUCAUCUUGGAUGAGUUAGCUAGCAACAAUGACCCAAUCAUCAAGAAGCUAACUCAAGAGAAUAGAAAGCUCAAGAAAGAGAAGGAACAUCUAACCAUGGGGUUAGCAAAGUUCACAAAAGGAAAGGACCUUCAAAGUGAGCUUUUCAUGAACACCGUCAUGAAGAUGGAUAAGAGUGGAAUUGGCUACAAGGCUCAUCAAACAAAGCUCAUCAAGUCACUAGCCACUCAUGAUCAACCAAGCAAGCUAAAGCCAAAGAGAUGCUUUGAGUGUGGUCAAGAAGGACAUUUUGCUCAUGAGUGUAAGGCACCACUACCACCACCCUUGCCCAAGCAUGCAAGACCAUUUGCCUUCAAUGCUCACUACAUUGUAAGAAAAGACAAGAGUGACAAGGUCAAGGUUAGCUUCAUGGGGCUGCCCAACAAGCAAAGGCCAAAGAAGAUUUGGGUGCCAAAGCAACUAGUAGAGAAGGUCAAGGGCCCUAAGCAAAUGUGGGUCCCUAAAUCUCAAGCUUGAUCUCUUGUGUGUAGGUGAACUACAAGACCAGUGGAUCAUAUUGGGUAAUUGAUAGUGGUUGCACUCAACAUAUGACCGGAGAUCCCCGGAUGUUCACCUCUCUUGAUGAAGAUGUUGACAACCAAGAGAAGAUCACAUUUGGUGACAAUUCAAAAGGCAAGGUCAAGGGACUAGGAAAGGUCGCUAUAUCAAAUGACAACUCCAUCACCAAUGUGCUCUAUGUGCAAUCCUUGAGUUUCAACUUGCUCUCGGUUGGACAACUUUGUGACCUUGGAUUUGAAUGCUUAUUCAAGAAGAAGGAAGUAAUUGUGACCAAGGAAGAUGACAAUGAAGUGAUAUUCAAAGGCUUCCGACACAACAACUUAUAUGUAGUUGAUUUCUCAUCCGAUGAAGUUGAUGUCAAGACUUGCUUAUUCACCAAGACUUCACUUGGGUGGUUGUGGCAUAGAAGGUUAGCACAUGUUGGAAUGGACACACUCAAGAAGUUGAUGAAGAAAGAAUUGAUUAGAGGCUUGAAGGAUGUGACAUUUGAAAAGGACAAGCUUUGUAGUGCAUGUCAAGCCGGCAAGCAAGUUGCAAACACUCAUCCAACCAAGGCCUAUCUCUCUACUUCAAGAGUGCUUGAGCUACUUCACAUGGAUCUAUUUGGACCAACCACAUAUGCUAGUCUUAGAGGCAACAAAUAUUGCUUGGUCAUAGUUGAUGAUUUCUCCCGUUACACUUGGACAUUCUUCUUGCAAUACAAGGCCGAUGUUGCAUCUAUAUUCAAGAAGUUUGCAAAAAAUGCCCAAAAUCAAUUUGAAGUCAAAAUCAAGAAAAUUAGAAGUGACAAUGGCAAAGAGUUUGACAACACCAACAUUGAAGAGUAUUGUGAUGAAGUGGGAAUCAAGCAUGAGUUCUCAUCAACAUACACACCACAACAAAAUGGGGUUGUAGAAAGAAAGAACCGGACAUUGAUCACCUUGGCAAGAACAAUGCUAGAUGAGUACAACACUUCGGAGAAGAUGUGGGCCGAGGCAAUCAACACCGCAUGCUAUGCUUCAAACCGGCUCUUUCCUCACAAGUUCCUAGGGAAGACACCAUAUGAGUUGCUCAAUGGGAAGAAGCCCGAUGUCUCAUGCUUUAGAGUGUUUGGAUGCAAAUGCUACAUCUACAAGAAGCGCCAACACUUGGGCAAGUUUCAAAGAAGAUGUGACAUUGGCUACUUGGUUGGCUAUUCAUCAAAAUCCAAGGCAUAUAGGGUCUUUAACCAUGCCACAAACAUGGUUGAAGAAACAUUUGAUAUUGAAUUUGAUGAAACUAAUGAGCAAGCGGUGGCACAAGCAUGUGAGAGAUGCUCAUGACGACACUCAAGUCACUCAUGAGCAAGCGGUGGCACAAGCACAAGAUGUUGAUGCUCCCCAACUAACCCCCCAAGUGGCGCCAAGAAGAACAUCACAUCUCCUCCAAGAUCACUCUCAAGAUCUCAUCAUCGGGAGUCCAUCACAUGGUGUAACUACUCGUUCUAGACAUGCUUUGUUUAUUGAACAUCACGCUUUUGUGUCUCUUGAAGAUGAACCAAAGACUAUAGAGGAAGCUCUUCGUGAUGCGGAUUGUAUCAUGGCCAUGCAAGAGGAGUUGAAUAACUUCUCUCGCAACCAAGUGUGGACACUUGAAGAGCGACCCAAAGAUGCAAGAGUGAUUGGAACAAAGUGGGUCUUCCAGAACAAGAAGGAUGAUCAAGGCAAAGUGGUGCGCAACAAGGCAAGGCUCGUGGCAAAAGGCUUUUCACAAGUGGAAGGUCUUGACUUCGGUGAAACCUUUGCACCGGUGGCAAGACUUGAAGCAAUCCGUAUCCUACUUGCAUAUGCAUCUAGUCAUGAUAUCAAGUUAUUUCAAAUGAUGUGAAAAGUGCUUUUUUAAAUGGCUAUAUUAAUGAGCUUGUCUAUGUUGAGCAACCCCUCGGUUUUGAAGACCCUAGGUACCCCAAGCAUGUCUACCGGUUGUCCAAGGCUCUCUAUGGUCUCAAGCAAGCUCCUAGAGCUUGGUAUGAGAGGCUUAGGGACUUCCUCAUUGAGAAGGGCUUCAAGAUUGGGAAAGUUGACACAACACUCCUCACCAAGAAAAUGAAUGGGGAAAUCUUCAUUUGCCAAGUUUAUGUUGAUGAUAUUAUUUUUGCCUCUACUAAUGAAGAUUUUUGCAAGGAAUUUGGUGAUUUGAUGUCCAAGGAGUUUGAGAUGUCCAUGAUUGAUGAGCUAUCUGUUGACGGUCCUUAAUGCUCAUAUUUAACCAUCAAUUAAUCAUGGAAAAGGAUCCAAAUGCAACCAACACCCAGACUUAGGGUUUUAUCUGACAGGAUUCCACGAGUUUUGGUGUUUGUCUAUUUCUGCAGGGGGUUAUCAGGAAAUACGGAAGAAAGGCCCACACGUCGGGAUUACAUAGAGAUAUUAACGUGCCGCGCAAUUUUCUAUCAUCUAGAAGACUCCAGAAGCCACGGGAACGAACGGGAGGCCGAGCGGGCCCGGAGGCAGGGCACCCGCCCUACCCCCCUGGGCGCCCGCCCUCCUCUGCUGGCCAAUCAGCACGAGUCUCGGGGAUUAUGCCCCACCGACUCUAAGGAUCGAGGAAAAUCACACGAUGAAGGUCGGUUUGAUCGGAUGGUGGAGAAUAACGUGGAAAUUCCUUGGGAGCUACUCUUCCUAGAUUUCUUGGGGGCUACUCUUCCUAGAUUUCUUGGGGGCUACUCUUCCUGGACUAUAUAAGCAGACCCCCACCAGCCCCUGGAGGCAUACCUCUUCUACAGAAUCAAAGCUAGGGUUUCAAUUCUUCAUCCAAGUAGAGAGGAUCCCUCUAGUUCUUCUAGUUCUACCUCUAGUUCAUCUAGAUCUAGUUCUAGUUCAUCUAGUUCUAGUUCUAGUUCCUCUAGUUCUAGUUGUAGUUAGUUCUAGUUGUAAUCUAGAAAAUAGGGAGAGAGAAGAGGAGAGCGAAGGAGGAGCCGGAUCUAUCGGAUCUUCCUCAACAUUGUACUUUUGCAGCAACUGGUUCGUUCUUCAUCGUUCUCCAGGUUCUUCAAUUCAUAAUCCUGAGUUCUUUAAUUACUUUUAUUUAAAUUCAAGUUAUUUAUUGGAUUCCCGCUUGCAUCAAGUGCUCUAAUCUUUGCAACAUUAGAGUAGUAAUUAAUAGAUUAGACGUGGUGUUUAGUCUUGCAAUUACCUGGAAUUGCACCCAAUCCUGCGGAUUGUUGUGGUAGCCCUAGGGUAGUGACAGCCCUAACGGUCGACGUAUUCCACCUCGUUCGGAUCGGUGUUUGUAGGACCGUAGUCAGAGCUUCCUAGCCCCCUUCUCAUCUUUUUCUGUGGUUAGUGUUCUGAUGUCCCAAAAUAGAUAAUCUUGAAGUAAUUCUUGAUUCUUAGAUUAAAUAGAGAACUCUCAUGAAACUUCCUCUCUUCCCACCAAAAAUAAUUAUAUAGUUAUCCUUGGGCGAUCUUGGAUCUUAAUUAGUACACUCAUGUUCCCUGUGGAAAAUCGAUACUCUGGAAUACUCCCGGGUGAAAGCUACAUCGGUAUCCGUGCGCUUGCGGAUUUUUCUGUUUGUGUUUAAAAUACCCAACACUAUCCUUCUUCCUAGGAUUUCAAGUCAAGCAAAUAGGAGUCUUCAUCUCUCAAGAGAAAUACACACAAGAUCUUCUCAAGAGAUUCAAGAUGAUGGAUUGGAAGCCAAUCAAGACUCCCAUGGCAUCAAAUGGGCAUCUCGACUUGGAUGAGGGAGGUAACCCAAUUGACAAGACUCUCUAUCACUCCAUGAUAGGAAGUCUACUCUACCUCACCGCAUCUAGGCCCAAUAUCAUGUUUAGUGUGUGUAUUUGUACUAGAUAUCAAGCAAUGCCUAUGGAAUCUCACUUGAUUGCCGUCAAGAGAAUUCUUAGGUAUCUAAAAUACACACCUUGCCUAGGUUUGUGGUAUCCCAAAGGUGCAAGAUUCCAACUUGUAGGCUAUUCCGAUCCGGAUUAUGUCGGGUGCCGGAUUGAUAGGAAAAGCACAUCUGGAGGGUGCCACUUCCUAGGUAGAUCACUUGUCUCUUGGAUGUCAAAGAAACAAAAUAGUGUUGCCUUGUCAACGGCUGAGGCGGAAUACAUUGCCGCCGGUGCUUGUUGUGCACAAAUACUCUACAUGAAACAAACUUUGCUAGACUAUGAAGUAGUACUAGACAAAGUACCUUUGUUGUGUGACAACGAAAGUGCCAUAAAACUUGCUAACAACUCGGUUCAACACACCCACACAAAACAUAUUGACAUCCGCCACCACUUCCUUAGGGAUCAUGUUGCUAAAGGUGACAUAUCUCUAGAGACUGUGGGAACGGAAAAUCAAUUGGCGGAUAUCUUCACAAAACCUAUAGAUGAAGCUAGGUUUUGUAUGUUGAGAAAUGAACUUAAUGUGCUUGAUCUCUCUAACUUCACAAAAAGAUAAAGUUUGUGUUGAAUCUUGUAAAUAGCUUUUGCUUUGCAUAUCAUGCAUGUUGAUAUUUGGUAACGCAAUAAGGAAAUGAUCCGCAAGCGCACGGAUAUCGGUGAGCAUUUCACCCGGGAGGUUUUCUAGAUUAUCGUAUUUAUAUUUUUACCACUGGGAGAAAGGGUGCAUCUGACUAACCAAAUCUAUUGCUACUAUCCCUUUAGGCUACAAAGAAUAUCUCUCGAUGUGAGUGAUAAAUAGAGAAGACUGCAACCGUAGUCUCCUUCUAACCUUGGUAAGGAUAAUCUAUUGUUCUAAUGGGGAGGCUAACGGAAUCUAGAUACCACAAAGGAUGUUCAACCCGCACCUAUAAACCCUAUCCUUCCUGCUAACGAGAUGUGAUCUGCAAAGGUAACUCGGAAUUGUCACGUUCCUCACUACUACCACGAUCCAGCUAGUCAGGGAAUAUCUAUGAGUACCCCAGCCUAAACACCACGUUUACGCCAGUAAUGAUUACUCUAAACUCUACGCGAAGAGAUUAAAGUAAACUCAUAAACCAUAAGAACAAUAAAACAAGAACUUACUAGAAUUUAGAAGUCGAAAUACUGAAGAAUCCUAGGAGCAAGCUUCGGGUUAGGAGAACUUGAUCCCGCAGGUACAAGCUUGGAGUAGACACCGACAAGCCGGGCUUCCUCCAAUCAACACCUCCACUCUAUCUCUCUCAAUCUUUUAGAAACUAGAAGAUCUAUUUCUACUUUACAUUGGUUGCUAAGCCUAAAAAGAAAUAUUAAUUAGAGAAGAGGUUUUCCUUCGAGGGCACCCCUCAAUCUCUAUGAUAAUUUCUUGUCUUCUCCAGGGGCCAGGGGGUCUCCUUAUAUAGUCCUCCUCCUCUAUGCGUUUUUGGGUCGGUAGGCGAGGUGGUACUAUGUUUUCCUUGAUCCAAUAGGUCGGUGGAACGUUGUGUGCGAAGAGAGUCCCGAAGGGCUUCCAGAGGUGGGCGGGCGCCCAGGUCAGGGCAGGCGCCCUGGGUCUGGCCCCUUUCGGCCUCCGCUUCCAUCCUGUGGCUUCUGGGGUCUUCUAGAUGGUAGAAAAUUGCGCGGUGCGUUGAUAUCUCUAUGUAAUCCCGACAUGUGGGCCUUUCUUUCUUAUUUCCUGAUAACCCCCUGCAGAAAUAGACAAACACCAAAACUCGUGGAAUUCUGCCAGAUAAAACCCUAAGUCUAGAUGUUGAUUUCAUUUGGAUCCUUUUCUUUGUUUAUUUGAUAAUUAAAUUUGAUACUUAAGGACCGUCAACAAACUCCCCCAAGCUUACCUCUUGCUCGUCCCUGAGCAAGGAUAGACUCAGCUAUGGAUCAUAAGUUGUUGCAAUAUCUUUAAAAAUUGACGGUACACAUGCUUUUUAGAUAAGAUCUUAUCUCUGAGUUAGAGUAAACUGUCAAGACUUAAAACUUACUUACUUUACCUUUCACCAUGGGACUUGUAACUGUCACUUCUUUCUUGAGAGGUUAAAAGAUAGAACAGUCUAGUCAAGUGCCAUGUCUCUUAUUCUUGAUCAGCUAUAGCUCUGGGGUUUUUUUGCAGAUUUUCAAAUAAAACUCAGAGAUUCCUUGUAUGACUCUCUCAGAUCUCUCUUUUAUGGUAUUUCUGGAUCCUUACCAAGGCAGUGAUGGUAUAUGCCUUCUCUCAAGAUAUGUGGUAUUUAUGGUAUAAGGCAUAGUGACAUUGCCUUCUCUCUCACCCUACUCUAAUAAGGCUUUAAUAUCUGGAGCUCAUAGGUGGGAGAUAAAAUAUACAUACUUACAAGACAUUUAUUGCAUAGUCAAACCAUGGAUCCAAAGAAACAAAUCAAUAAGCCAAAUCAAGAUGUGCAUGUGUGGCGAAUGAAUGGUGAUUACAAUGGUGAAAACAAUGAUGGAAACAAUGGUGGUGGAAGUCUAAUUCUACUUCUUUUGAGGGGAUACAUACCUUCCUUGCUUUUUGAAACUUUAUGAAGAGAAUGAGAUGCUCUAUAUUUUUCUUUUCUCUCAGGUGGGUAUCUUGUACCCCUAAUUCUACUGUCGGACACUUGUCCAUUUUUACCUCUCGUCUCACUUUUUCUUUUCUUUCGAGGUUCCGAGCACUUGCUCCUUUUUAUUUCCUCGUAUUUUUCUUUUUUUUCUUUUCUCUCUUUUUUUUAGAGCACUCAUCUCUUGAGAUAAUAUAGCAAGUGGUAGUAACAAGAUAACUUGAGCAUUUAUUUCACAAGGAAGAACAAAAUUAUUUUUGGCUACUCUCUCCCGGAUUGGAAGUAGAAUAUUUUUGGGUGAUUCUGGAGAUGGAAAUGUAUGGAUAUAUGUGAAUGGUACUUCUGGAGUAGAAGUAGCAUGUGUGAGUGAACGUGCAAGUGAAUCUUGAUUUAACCACAUGACAAGCUCCCAAGGGUCUACACAGCUUGACCACACUCAAUGCUCAUAAGCAGUAAAAAGUAAAUGUGUGACUCGAAGUCUAGCAAGCAUGUAUAUAUGGCUGUGGUAGGAUUUUAAACUCUCAUCAUACAGGAACUCAUCAUGCAACAUUUUAAAGAUUUCCAAAGAUAAAAUUCUCCAGAAUUCUAGCAUCUCUAGAAACAGAUAAACAGCAACUCAACCUUCCCAUAUCGUAUCCGUUAACAACUUAGAUUUCAGAUCAAGUUUUCAUCCCACAAGUUUAAGUCUAGAGCAAGCUUUAAAUUAUAAUAGUUAUGUCUAAACUUGAGAGAGAACUUAAAAUGUGCAAAUUAGGCAGAGCAACUAUUCAUCAUUUCCAUGCUUGAGUUUUAUUUAGAUACAGAUUAGCAUAGCCACUUUAUUUAUCUAUUAAACACACUAAGCAAAAGACAUAUAUAUAUAAGCAUAAAAUCUUUAUUUAGUUUUUCAUAGUUAUGUAUAUUUAUAUUCUAAAAUAAUAUAAGUAUAAAGAUAGAUAGAUAGAAAUACUUAUCGAGAUAAAUGGGGGUGCUCUCCCCCAAGCUGAAUUUUGACGUAAUUUCUCUUGAUGUAGCUAGCAGGUUGCAGAGGUGUAUUUGAAAGUCAGCAGCAUUGUGACAGCGAUUAGAAUAUCCUCCGUCUGCCAGUCUUCUUGAUUCUUAGAUUCUGUGGAGCUCAAAUAGACAACAAAGCUUGUGGAACUGAUGAAGUGUUAGCAUAAAUAUCUAGCCUUUAUCAUGUUGAGACUCUUUAAUAAUUAUUACUCCCUGUUUUUAUAUUUUUAUUUUAUAAAGCAGAAAAAUAUUUUUAUUUUAUUUUUAUGCCACCACAGUGAAUGUACUUAUGGGUUUUAUGCCACUCGUAUCCUCACAUGGGGCUUACUGUUUUUCAUAUUUUUACUUUCUGUUUAGAACUUAAUUAACUAAGUGAACUACUUGAAAUAAUUAAAAGGGAAAGGAUAACUACCAAGUUUACCUCUUGGCAAGGCGUUCGGUGUUUUUAAGUCCUCCGAACGGGACUCUCCUCCUUCUCAAUUAUCCUGAGGUUCGUUGGGUGGCGUAGUCGGUACUUCCGGCAGCGCCUCCUCUUCAUGUAUAGUUAUCUUCAUUUUCCACACCUGACUUGGUGCUUCGGUCUCCUCUAGAUAAUUCUGUUUAAACUCAACGUCUUCUGACCUUACAACUUCUCCUUCGUAGUCUGCCCAUCCGUCCUUGAUGAUUUGCCUUCUCUGGUUGCGGUUGCGUCGUCUUCUUCUUGUCCUGACCUGCUUAGAAUCUUCAACUAUAUAGUUAGAAUCAUUAAAUUAAUGGCGUACCUUCUCAGAGGGGAAAUACACGUGGACUUCUCCGGUUCCAAUGUAGAUGAUAACUUUGAUAGUGUUGAGGAAUGGUCUUCCAAGGAUGAUGGGUGGAUCGUACUCGUCUUUUCCCAUGUCAAUGUUCUGAAAAUCAUCUGGAGCUAAAUAUAUAUUGGUUGUAGGGGCAUGGUUCCAUGCAGGAGCUGAUAAGUGACUGCAGCCAUUAUGUUGACGUUAGAUCCGGUGUCGUAGAGUGUUUUCUAAAAAGAGUAUCUGUUGGUUGUGCACUCGAUGCUUGGAACACCAGGGUCGUCCUUCUUGAUCAAGAAAGGUGACUUGAGUCGACGAUCUUGACCUCCUUGAGCUGUAGUGACCAUCUUAGCUGACUCGGUCCACAUUUGCUUGUUCCUGUUCCUCCUGUUGGUCCUCUUCCUUGGUUCAUGUCGGGAUUGCUCUGAAGUUUAUGUAGUCUUGUUCUUGAAGGAAAGUCUCCUUCUUCCCCUUGAUGUAGAGACUGAUCUUGGCAGCAUUAGCGUAGAUGACAGCUCCAGUGUUUAGGAAUGGCCUCCCUAAGAUGAUGGGUGCCCUCUCCUCAGUACCAGUCUCUAUCACCACAAAGUUUGCUGGAGCGUACAAGGUACCAACUUGGACACAGAGGUUCUUUAAUAUUUCCUUUGGGAAACUAAGUGUCUGAUCUCCAUUGUGUUUGUGCUCGUAGAUCCCGGUUCUUCACUUAAUGGAAUCUGGGAGUUGUAAAACGCCUUCACGUUUCUCAAAAUGUGUCCUGCUCAUAGAGACAAGGCAGAGAUCAAGUGCAUGGGCUAUGUUGGUGGAAAACACCAACAGAACCAAAAGUGUAUUUGUUCUUCUCUAACCUUAAGCAUAGUGAGCAAGACAAAGUUGAUGGAUAAUAAGAUCAUGAGUGUAGUAUUUGAAACAUUUGUCAGAUCAGAUGGCUCAACCUAAUGGAAAGAUAAUCUAUCUAUAUUUAUGUUUUGUUUAUCUCUUCCAAAUAUUGAAUGUGCAACAUAUUAGCUUAUAUGUUUAGGAGCGUGGGAUCAUGGAGGUAGUACAAAGAACAAGGAUUAAAGGACUAAACAUGUUGAAUUAAUUGAGUUGGUUAAUCUGGAGUUAUAAAUCAUACAUGUUUGUCUCUUUAUUUAUGUGAAUGCUAGAACCAAGGAGAAGCUUAUAAAAGCGAUAGUCAAGUACCUUAAGGUGUUACCUUACUUGAAGAGUGACGGUACAGUAUCACCUUGUAGAAGCUUUCCUUUCUUAGCGGUUGUGCAUCGUGUUUGUGGCACCCUCCAUGAAUCAUCUCUUAUGAGCUACGUCUUUCUUGUGCAAAUUGUUAAACUUCAUGUGUCAUUUUCUCCAUCUCCAACGCGAGUUUGUAUCUCAGGACUUCCCAGGUUGAUAUUGAAAGUUUUUCUGCAGGGGUUAGUCCGACAAAAUAUACCAAUGUCUACACAAGCAGUUUUUAGUUCAAUAACCGAACUAGACUCCAUGUCUAAUCAGAUUAAGGAAGGCUGUUUAACCUAAGCACCAUGCUUAAUUUAAAAGCCAAUAGAAGUAUGUGCAGUACUUCCAAACUAACACUAACUAGGAUAAACAAAGGUAGUGUGAUGGCAUUUAUUGAGAUCUACUCAAGUGGAGAUUAAGUAGCGUGAUUAGUAUUUAACAAAUUGAGCAUGUCUCAAAGGUAAGGACAACCAACAUAGCAACAUGGCAAAUGAUGUUUUUAUGUGAAGUACUCCCCUAAGCUUGAAUUUUGCAAAAUUCAAGAUCGGAUGAAUUUAAUUCAAUGUUGCAUGUUGAUUGGUUGGGCAUACCUUGCGCUUGUCAUUCAUCCGGUCUUCUUGCUCCAAUCCUAGAAAGGUUAGUGACAAAAAUACCCGAAGGAAUAUUUCUACCAUUAUCUUAUAUGCUCAAUACACAAGGUAAUGUUGCAAGUAAUUAGAAGUUCAUGUUACGAUCUGAUAAGUGCUUGUUUUAGGACACUAAGCUUGUUCUUGGGAAACCAUCAAUUAACUCAAUGAGAUCUGCAAUAUUUAUUAUAGACAUAUGCAUCGACAACCGUUCUUUUAUAGUUUUUAUAAAUAGAAAAGAAGAGAGGGUUGGAGAUCUCAAAUGUGGUGAUAGCACAUGAAUUUUUAAUGCCCUCUAGCCAUUGAUGUUGCUCUUCUCGAUCCUCCUUCAUAUGCAUGGGAUGUCUAGAGAGAUUCAUAGGAUUAUCGGGAGGUUCAAGAGAAAGAGCAUAGUAGAGAUUAUUAGGCUCAAGGAUGGGUUGGAUAGCCGAAUCAUGGGAUUGGAAGUUUGGAAAUCGGCUAUUGAAACUUCCUCUCCUUGUAUGGGAGAUGAUUCCUUCUCUAUCUCUAUGAUUUUUUUAUGAAGACUAGUACAAGAAGGAUGUCCAUGAAUGAAGACAUACCUUUCGUUACUAACUGAUAAAGAAAGAAGGACUCUACCAAAGGUUAUAUGAUUAAGACCAAUGUGAAAAUAUCUAGGAAAAACAUGGUCUUGCAGGGCUAGGUCUAAACCAGAAUUUAUAGAAAGAUUAACAGAUUCCCUAGGUGUAGCUAAAGGUGCAUUAUCUUCUUGAUUAAAAGAGAGGACCUCGGCUAUAGAAAAGGGUUGGUUUUGACCUAUUGCAAUCAACUCCGGACACAGAUCAUGAUUAGGGGCAGGACGUGUUGACUCCCAUGGUCUAUGGCUGGUCUCCGAAGGUGCAAAGAAUUUAAUAAUAGUUAUGGAAUUUGAGAUAUCCAUAAAGAUAAAACGAUAAAAGAAUAAAAGUAUAAAAGUAUAAUACAAGAUAAUAGCAAGACUCAAAGUUAUCUCAGCAAACCGUCUUUCUCCCCGGCAACGGCGCCAGAAAUGCUUGUUGAUAUUUGGUAACGCAAUAAGGAAAUGAUCCGCAAGCGCACGGAUAUCGGUGAGCAUUUCACCCGGGAGGUUUUCCAGAGUAUCGUAUUUAUAUUUUUACCACUGGGAGAAAGGGUGCAUCUGACUAACCAAAUCUAUUGCUACUAUCCCUUUAGGCUACAAAGAAUGUCUCUCGAUGUGAGUGAUAAAUAGAGAAGACUGCAACCGUAGUCUCCUUCUAACCUUAGUAAGGAUAAUCUAUUGUUCUAAUGGGGAGGCUAACGGAAUCUAGACACCACAAAGGAUGUUCAACCCGCACCUAUAAACCCUAUCCUUCCUGCUAACGAGAUGUGAUCUGCAAAGGUAACUCGGAAUUGUCACGUUCCUCACUACUACCACGGUCCAGCUAGUCAGGGAAUAUCUAUGAGUACCCCAGCCUAAACAUCACGUUUACGCUAGUAAUGAUUACUCUAAACUCUACGCGAAGAGAUUAAAGUAAACUCAUAAACCAUAAGAACAAUAAAACAAGAACUUACUAGUAUUUAGAAGUCGAAAUACUGAAGAAUCCUAGGAGCAAGCUUCGGGUUAGGAGAACUUGAUCCCGCAGGUACAAGCUUGGAGUAGACACCGACAGGCCGGGCUUCCUCCAAUCAACACCUCCACUCUAUCUCUCUCAAUCUAGUAGAAACUAGAAGAUCUAUUUCUACUUUACAUUGGUUGCUAAGCCUAAAAAGAAAUAUUAAUUAGAGAAGAGGUUUUCCUUCGAGGGCACCCCUCAAUCUCUAUGAUAAUUUCUUGUCUUCUCCAGGGGCCAGUGGGGUCUCCUUAUAUAGUCCUCCUCUAUGCGUUUUUGGGUCGGUAGGCGAGGUGGUACUAUGUUUUCCUUGAUCCAAUAGGUCGGUGGAACGUUGUGUGCGAAGAGAGUCCCGAAGGGCUUCCAGAGGUGGGCGGGCGCCCAGGUCACCAGGGCGGGCGCCCUGGGCCUAGCCCCUUUCGGCCUUCGCUUCCUUCCCGUGGCUUCUGGAGUCUUCUAGAUGGUAGAAAAUUGCGCGGUGCGUUGAUAUCUCUAUGUAAUCCCGACAUGUGGGCCUUUCUUCCUUAUUUCCUGAUAACCCCCUACAGAAAUAGACAAACACCAAAACUCGUGGAAUUCUGUCAGAUAAAAUCCUAAGUCUAGAUGUUGAUUUCAUUUGGGUCCUUUUCUUUGUUUAUUUGAUAAUUAAAUUUGAUACUUAAGGACCGUCAACAAUGCAUACCAAAACUAAAAUUGAAAAAGCUUUGUGUGUAGGGCUUGUCUUACAUGGUUAAGAUAACCCCCUUGUGUGUGUGAAAAAGCUUAACCUUAGAUCAAACUUGACAAGCAUUAGUUCACUUUCAAGUAUUGCAUCUCAACCCAUAUCAUAUGCAUGCUUGUUUGUUGACCGUUUCUUUUCGAUUAUUCUUUGAGCAUCCGCUGUGUUCGUCCAUAGAUAGAGGGAGCAUUCAAAGCUCAUUAUGAUUUAAACCCCUAGCAUUAUAGCCACAUGAUGCUCCUUGGUGGUUUCUCAAACUAUUUUCAUAAGAAACUACUAAUCCUAAGGCCAAAUAUUUGUGAAAAUUUGAGGGUUUGAGAGAGGUCACUCAUACCAGUUCCAUUUGGUGUUUAUUUGUGUGUCUUUGAAGAUGGAACUUGGUUGGGUCAAAGUCGGACAUAGUGCUAAGUUGGAAAAAGACUCAGAGGGGCACCGGACGAUGCACCGGAUGCUGUGUCGAUGCGUCCGGUGCGGUGAGUGUGCCACAUUGCACUCACCGGACGCAGGAACAGUGUCACUGUAGCGUCCGGUGAGGUGUGUCCGGUGUUCACCAAGCAUGCCCUAGGGCACCGGACGCUAAAGCCAGCGUCCGGUGGCCAUCGUCCGGUGACAUGCCAAAUUGCAAACCUCUCUGCGCAUGAGUCCGGUGGUCACCGGACGCGUCUGGUGCCACUUUAAGUGCGUCCGGUGACCCCGCGGCGGGCGCAUAUAACCCGCGCCCGGAGUGUUUAGAUGGGCAGUUCCUUUUCCCCUCCCACGAUCUCGUCCAGGCGCCCGUGCCCUUGCAAAAUCGCCGAGCCGCCGCCACCGCUGCCUUCGUCGAUCUCAAGCGUCCUCGAUGUUCUUCCCUCGCGCCUGAUCCACACCAGAUCCCUCCCUCUCCCUUCUCUUCUCGAGCAGAUCCAAUCGCGCGGAUUUAAGGGUUUGGGUAAGUCUUUUGAGUUCUCGCCCUCAAGGUGUUUGUGUUUUUGUGUGAAUGGAUUAGAUUGUUGUUUUCGACAGCGAUUUGAUUCGUUCUAUCUCUGUAGCACCUUGAGGAGUGAUUUCGUGUUCUCCUACAGAUUUCGAUCGCGAUAUUUCAUCUGGAACGCAUCUCGUCGCCCGAUCGUAAGCCGUUCGCGCCUGUUCCUUAUCUAUUCUUGCGAUCUAUAAGGUUUUUCUCACCUCUAGCUAUUAUGUUUGCUUAUAUAUGCCCUAUCUAUUCUCUCUUUGCAGCGCGUCGAUCUCUUGUGGCAGUUGGUCAGUUGCCGGCAGCUCGUUCAGGUUUUAUUUCUUGCGAUGGCUCAUUGCAAGAACGUCAGCGGUCCGGCAGCUAGCGCUGGUGGUUCCCCAGGAGGUGAUGGUGGAGGUGAUCCUCCCCGUCGCCUGUUAGCGGCAGAGAAGGGCAAGGGCAAGAAGUUGGCCACCAAGAAGAGGAAGGCCAGCGACAGAGAGGCAGAGAUAGCCGAGGCAGUUGCAGCGGCAGCAGAGGCAGCAGAGAGGGGUGGACGGUCAGGUGCCCUGAGGAUAGGGGCCGAUCUCACGCCACGUCAGAGGCGUGCCGUUCUUGAGGCAGAGGCUAUGCAUGGAUCACCCCCAGGCACCAUCAUGAUAGGAGGACAGCGUGUCAGGAUUAAUGUCAGAGAUCCAGCUCAGGAGGACCUGGACACAGAGACAGAGGCAGAGGCCCAGGCAGAGGGUCCAGCAGAGGCACAGCAGCAGGAGCAGCCCCUCAGGAGGUCGACUCGCACUUGUACUCAAGCCACUCCUCGGACUGGUACGCAGGGCCAGUCUACCUCUGCUGCUCGUGCUACACCAGCUCGAGGCACUCCAGCUCCUCGUCAGGCACCAGUGAGGAUACACAGGGACUAUACUCUAGUGUCAGCUAGGGAGAUCCAGCAGCUGCGGUUCGUUCCUUUUCCUACCUAGUUUCCAGCUGCUAGGGAUCCACGAGCCGGUGCCAGGUUCUACACAAUAGUCCAGGAGGACAUCUAUGAGGCACUGGUUCACUCACAGGCUCAGUUCAGAGAGCACCGAGUGAUUGAUCUUGAGACUCUAGGGAACGUGGUUGGUGCAUACAUCAGGUAGUACUUCACCUACCUCCACGGUCUCCCAGAGUUGCUUGCUUUGCCUGGUACCUACUGUGAGCAGUGGGUCAGAGAGUUCUUUGUGUCAGUGUGGGUUUCUCCGGACCAUAGUUACAUCCACUACGCACUGGCGGGCACAGACUAAAGAGUCACAGCUCAGGCAGCCCGAGAGGUUCUUGGAUUGAGAGCGUACCCUACCAGGAUUCAUCAGCUAUGCUACGGGAACUUCGAGCCCCCUCGUCGCCCUCACGGUGGUGAGAUACCACUGGUAGACUUUGUGGCUCCCUAUUUCCGUCCGCCCUUUCUAGAGGGCUCCAGCCAGACAGUGGGAGAUUUGACACACCCAGCCAGGAUCCUUGACUUUGUGUUGAGGAAGACACUUCUUCCUAGGACAGGCUACAGGGACGGCUUCACCAGGAUACAGUAGUGGUUAGUGGCUCACCUCAUCUCGAAGACUCCUUUUGACCUAUGGGAUCUGAUAGUCUCAGAGAUUGAGGAUACCAUCUCAGAGAGCUUCAGGGGACGGCGUCAGUUGCCGUAUGCACAUUGGUUACCAUGAUCAUUCUUCGUGCUAGACCCGUACCCCUGCCAGCUCACCUGCAGAGAGAGUUGACAGACUCCGACACGGUCUUCCCUCACUACGACCCCAGGCAGAUGUUGAGAGCACACCACGACCUCAGAGCUACACCACCUCCUCGUGCACCACGUGGCUCGGUGCCCCCUCCUUCUCCUAGGGGCACUCACAGUUCAGGAGCAGUACCAGAGACUGAGGAGGAGCAGGAUAUCGCCAUUGGGGCGUUUGCUGAUGUAGAGGCUAAGGAGGGUUUUGACUUUGCUUCGGACAGCUCGGACGAUGAUUAUCGUCCUCCAGUGUCAGACCUUCCUCCGAGGACACACGACCACGAGGCAGGAGGCUCCUCAGGUGCUUUAGACCCCGCUUUGCUUGCUAUACUAGAGGGGAUGAGAGCCGAUCAGCGGCGGGCAGCUGAGGAGUAGGGGAGGAGGGACAGGGACCAGGCUGCAUCAAUGCAGCCAUGCAGGCUAGGCAGGAUGAGCUCCAGCGACAGCUUAUGACCUUCUAGGAGCAGCAGCUUGCGUUCCAGGCCCAGCAGACUGCGAUGAUGGCUGCUCUUAUGGCUGCCUCAGGGAUUCAGAUUUUGCAGGUUCAGCUCCCAGGCACUUCAUCGGUCAGGCCUCCCACUCCAGCACCUCAGAGUCAGAGUCAGCAGCCGCUACAGCUCCCUGCUCAGAGUCAGCCGUUCUCUACGCCUCAGCACCAGGUCUCCCAGGGUGCUAUAUCGUUUGGCUUUGAGCAGGUAUCGCAGUUCACGCCUCUCCACUCUGGAUUCACUCCACAGUCAGCGACAGCGUCACAGCUUGUAUUGGACUCGUCGACAGACCAGCACCUCAGUUUCACUUACAGUGCUCUGACCGGUGACCCUACGCCUCCACCCCUGCAGGCUCCUGCAGCUUUUACGGUUCCAGUCACCACUACUGAGCGUCUGUCGUCGUCAGUAGCCUCGUCCGAGCAGCUUGCACCGUCUUCUACCGUGCCAGAGACGUCAGCUAUAGCGACCGAGUCCGUGCCAGCUUCGUCCGCAGGACUUGAGCAGCCCGCAGAGCCCGUGACAGCUUCAGCGCCUCCAGAGCAGACCCAGACCGCCUCUCUGGCACCUGCAGCUUCAGAGGGUCACUCCACCUCCUCCGCCACGACGGCCGAUGGUUCCGAUGAUGCAGCUCGCUUUGAGGCCGUGCCGAGGGACUCCACUGCUCCACCUCCGCCUCCGUCUUCUUAGGUUUUUGGCGCUUGAUGCCAAAGGGGGAGAGAGUUGUGUGUAUGAGAGUUAGGGGGAGCUGGGAGCUAGAGGCUAGAGAGAGGCUUAGUUAUUUUGAUAUACUCUUUUGUGUGCAACUCCAUCAUGGAUCACGUUUAUCUUUAUGCAUUGCAUUUGUGUGAGAUACACUGGUUGUGAGACAUGACCUUAUGCUUAUUUGUGAUAUCUUUAUGUCAUGUGUUUGGCUCUUUUUUCUUUUGCUUCCGCGUUUUAAUCCGAUGUACUUAUGAGCCUUGUGUGUUUAUAUCCUGUUGUACCACUCACUAUUUGGAUGCAGGAUGUUAGACUUGGUUGAUAUAAGCAUGCCUAAUCACUUUGUUCUUAUUGUAUCAUGCUUAUUGAAACCAAGUCAUUUUAAAAACCUCAACUCUUUUCAUACUCGAGGUUAUUUUCAUCAAUCACCAAAAAGGAGGAGAUUGAAAGAGCAUCUAGGCCCCUAGUGAUUUCGGUGAUUAAUGACAAUGUUGUUUACUAUGACUAACGUGUGUUUUGCAGAGGCAAAGUCAUAGGUAAGGUCAUGGUAAUAGGUACUCGAUGGAUAGGGACGUACAUGCCUACUUAAUAGUGGAAAUCGUUUUGGUUUUCAAAGGAUGGAUGGACAUCGUCAAGACUAGACUAGGUCUAAGUGCCAUAUGGUGAAGAAGGGCACAUAGAGUAGUUUAGGACUUUGUUUUCCUUUAACCGUACUAUUAAGAGGGGCUUUGAUCUAGUAGCUUGACUUAGGCAAGGCUUUAGGUUUAGGUGUGGUGCACACUUGGUAAACCUAGCACUAGGCAGCUCAGAGAUAGUCCUUAGAUCGAGAGGAACCAAAUUCGUACUGGAGCGAUUACGUUUCGAUGAAGUUAGGGUGCCCAAGGGGGCACCGGACGCUGCACCGGACGCUCUAUGAGUGGGUCCGGUGAGGUCCUUAACUGUUGGGAGGUCUCGGUGCUUAGGGUUAGGCACCGGACGCUGGCACCGGACUCACCGGGUAGCGUCCGGUCCCACACCCAGGGAGGUUGUAAACCUCCCUUGAGCACCGGACGCUAGCACCGGACGCACUGGGUAGCGUCCGGUCCCGUACUCAGGGAGUUUGUAAAACUCCACCGAGCACCGGACGGUGCCACCAGACGCUGAGAGUUAGCGUCUGGUGACCUGUCAGACGCAGGUACAGUUAGCCGUUGUGUGUCACCGGACGCUCGGUGCAGAGCGUCCGGUGCAACAUUAACAGCGUCCGGUGACCCCGUUUUCAGUGGAAAACAAUUGGCUGACCUUUGGACUUCGUGGGAGUAUUUAUACUCCUCCACCUCGUCCAUGAGAGGUCUCUUGCCAUUUGAACAUCUGAGAAACUUGUUGUGGAGCAAUGUUGGGUAUUUUAAACGCAAACAGAAAAAUCCGCAAGCGCACGGAUACCGAUGUAGCCUUCACCCGGGAGUAUUCCAGAGUAUCGAUUUUCCACAGGGAACGUGAGUGUACUAAUUAAGAUUCAAGAUCGCCCAAGGAUAACUAUAUAAUUAUUUUUGGUGGGAAGAGAGGAAGUUUCCUGAGAGUUCUCUAGUUGAUCUAAGAAUCAAGAAUUACUUCAAGAUUAUCUAUUUCGGGACAUCAGAACACUAACCACAGAAAGAGAUGAGAAGGGGGCUAGGAAGCUCUGACUACGGUCCUACAAACACCGAUCCGAACGAGGUGGUAUACGUCGACCGUUAGGGCUGUCACUACCCUAGGGCUACCACAACAAUCCGCAGGAUUGGGUGCAAUUCCAGGUAAUUGCAAGACUAAACGCCACGUCUAAUCUAUUAAUUACUACUCUAAUGUUGCAAAGAUUAGAGCACUUGAUGCAAGCGGGAAUCCAAUAAAUAACUUGAAUGUAAAUAAAAGUAAUUAAAGAACUCAGGAAUUGUGAAUUGAAGAACCUGGAGAACGAUGAAGAACGAACUAGUUGCUGCAAAAGUACAAUGUUGAGGAAGAUCCGACAGAUCCGGCUCCUCCUCCGCUCUCCUCUUCUCUCUCCCUAUUUUCUAGAUUACAACUAGAACUAACUAGAACUAGAACUAGAGGAACUAGAACUAGAACUAGAUGAACUAGAACUAGAUCUAGAUGAACUAGAGGUAGAACUAGAAGAACUAGAGGGAUCCUCUCUACUUGGAUGAAGAAUUGAAACCCUAGCUUUGAUUCUGUAGAAGAGGUAUGCCUCCAGGGGCUGGUGGGGGUCUGCUUAUAUAGUCCAGGAAGAGUAGCCCCCAAGAAAUCUAGGAAGAGUAGCCCCCAAGAAAUCUAGGAAGAGUAGCUCCCAAGGAAUUUCCACGUUAUUCUCCACCAUCCGAUCAAACCGACCUUAAUCGUAUGAUUUUCCUCGAUCCUUAGAGUUGGUGGAGCAUAAUCCCCGAGACUCGUGCUGAUUGGCCAGCAGAGGAGGGCGGGCGCCCAGGGGGGUAGGGCGGGCACCCUGCCUCCGGGCCCGCUCGGCCUCCCGUUCGUUCCCGUGGCUUCUGGAGUCUUCUAGAUGAUAGGAAAUUGCGCGACACGUUAAUAUCUCUAUGUAAUCCCGACGUGUGGGCCUUUCCUCCAUAUUUCCUGAUAACCCCCUGCAGAAAUAGACAAACACCAAAACUCGUGGAAUUCUGUCAGAUAAAACCCUAAGUCUAGGUGUUGGUUGCAUUUGGAUCCUUUUCCAUGAUUAGUUGAUGGUUAAAUGUGAGCAUUAAGGACCGUCAACAAGCUCCCCCAAGCUUAACCUUUGCUCGUCCCUGAGCAAAGCUAAAAUCAAGAAAACAGGGGUUACUUUUAUGUCUCUUACUACAGGGUUUUUAAGUUAUCACUAAGGUCUUAAGUGAUUGAAAAACAGAAUGAUCAAGUCAAGCACUAUGUCUCAAGUUCUUUUGUCUUACCUUUGUUCUGGAGUUGUUUGUAAGUUUCCAAAAUAAAACUGAAGCAUUUGCCUUCUUCUCGAAAGAUAUAUAAGUAGAGCUUUAAAAGUUUUAGCAUACUUACUUUGCAUUUUGCUAUGUCAACGCUCGGAGUAAGGGAGAGGAAUGUCAUACUCCUAGAUCAAGACCUUUGACCUCUUUGAGAAGUUUGUCAUCUCUUACUGGCAUAUUGCUUAUUAGAGGGACCAUGGGCUAUCAUUUUUUUUUUCUUUUCUUUUUUUUCAGUCUCUUCUUCUUUUUUUUAAGUGGGCAGCAAGUAGCCCUAUUUCUACUGUCGGACACAUGUCCAUUUUUUUCCACUCAGGUGGGUAUCUUUGUACCCCUAAUUCUACUUCGGACACUUGUCCAUUUUUACCUCUCGUCUCACUUUUUUUUUCAAUCAAAAUUUUGCAUAGUCCCAUGCCUCUAACGCAAUAACACUUCGGAAGAGUGAAUCUUUUAUAUUUUUAAAACAAAAAGAUCUUGAUCUUGGGAGCAUGAUAAUUCUCUCAACCAAAACUACAAGAAUUAACAAUGGCUUGAACAAAGCAAGUGCUCACAGUUUUAAUAUUUAUAUCUUAUAAGACUCUAGGUAUUAUGAUCUCAUAUAUAUAUAUUUUUUUUAGAUUUUCAAAAGAUAAAAUCUCCAGAACUCUAGCAAAACAUGGAACAAGUUAAAUAAUAGCUCAGACCUUCUCAUAUCAUGUUUGUCAAUUACCUAGACUUGGAUCAAACUUUCUUUUUAUUUUAUUUAAAACUUAGGAUUACUCAAAACUAUUGUAUAUUACUCAAAAGAAAAACUUUGUUUGGUUUCAUGGUUAUGCAUUUUUUUAUUUCCGAAUACUAGUAAAUAAAACCAAGAAAGAAAAGUAAUACUUAUCAAGAUACACGUGGGGGUGCCUCCCCCAAGCUGGAUGUUGACAUAGUCGUUCACUCUUGUGGCCUGCAUGUUCGGUCUCACUCUUCUUAAGUCUCAAAAUCCUGCACAACCCAAAUAGACAACAAAACUUGUGGAGCAUGUUAAGGGUUAGGUAAUUGUCUAGAGCUUAUGAGAGCUUAAUGUGAGAAUUCUAUGAACUCAAUCACAUCAAGUUCCUCUACCAGGUUGUUUUGUGGCUCGAGAUAGAUUUUCAAGCGUUGACCAUUUACCUUAAAAGUGUUACCUAUGUCGUCUUGGAUGGUAAUGGCUCCAUGAGUUGAAGUGUCAAUAACCUUAUAUGGUCCAUCCCACUUACUUCGUAGCUUACCAUGCCCAAAGAGCUUAACUCUUGAAUUGAAUAGUAGAACCUUAUCUCCAGGCUUAAACUCCUUGUGCUUGAUUCUCUUAUCAUGCCAUCGUUUUGUUCUCUCUUUAUAGAUCCUUGAAUUGUGGUAGGGUUUCUCUCUCCAUUCUUCUAGCUCAGAUAGUUGCAUCAGAUGAUUCUCGCUAGCGAGGUGGAGAUCCAUGUUCCAUUUCUUGAGUGCCCAAUGAGCCUUAAACUCUACUUCCACAGGCAAGUGACAAGUUUUUCCAUAUACAAGUUGAUAAGGUGACAUGCCUAUGGGUGUUUUGAAUGUAGUUCUAUAUGCCCAAAGUGCAUCAGGAAGUUUGUCCUUCCACCCCUUACCCAUCUCAUCUACGGUCUUUUGUAAAAUAUUUUUUAUUUGUUUGUUAGAUGUUUCGGCUUGACCGCUAGUCUGAGGAUGGUAUGGUGUUGCGACGUUGUGUCGAACUCCAUGAUCGGCUAGGUACUUCCGGAAGAUUUUGUCGAUGAAGUGGGAACCUCCAUCGCUUAUAACUAUCCGGGGUAUACCGAAGCGAGGAAAGAUAACUUCGUGGAACAUUCUCUUGGCAUGUUUUGAAUCAGCUGAUCGACAAGGUAGGGCUUCUACCCAUUUGGACACAUAGUCCACAGCUACUAAGAUAUACUCGCAAUUCCCGGACAUAGGGAAUGGCCCCAUGAAAUCAAUGCCCCAUACAUCGAAAAGUUCUACUUGAAGAUUAUUUGUGAGAGGCAUUUCAUUUCGUGAGUUGAUAUUCCCAUGUUUUUGACAUCGGUGGCAUCUCCUGACAAAGUCCUUUGUAUCUUCAUACAUCGUUGGCCAGAAAAAACCACUUUGCCAAAUUUUAGCAUGUGUCCAGAAUGCUCCAUAGUGUCCUCCAUAUGGCGAGGCAUGGCAUCUUUCCAUAAUUUGGGCAGCCUCAGCCAUAGGAACACACCUUCUCAAGAGUCCAUCAGCGCAGACUCGGAAAAGAUAUGGCUCAUCCCAAAGGUGGAAACGACUAUCGUGAAGUAGCUUCCUUUUGUUUGCACCAGGUGGGACAUAGCCUUUUACUAUAAAGUUUACGAUGUCUGCGUACCAUGGAUCUGCAUGUGUUAUCUUAAGUAGGGUGUCAUCCCUUAGGUAGUCAUUUAUGGGAAGCUCAUCAUGUGUUUCCUUAUAUUGAAGCCUAGAUAAGUGGUCAGCUACAGAAUUCUCAACUCCCUUCCUAUCUCGGAUUUCUAUGUCAAAGUCUUGGAGUAUAAGAAUCCAUCGAAUUAGACGAGGCUUAGCAUCUUUCUUAGUGACGAGGUACUUGAGAGCAGCAUGGUCUGAAUAGAUGAUUAUCUUUGCCCCCACUAAGUAAGAUCUAAACUUGUCUAUAGCGAAGACAACAGCCAAAAGCUCUUUUUCAGUUGUAGUGUAAUUGAGCUGUGGUCCAGACAAGGUUUUGCUAGCGUAGGAUAUGGCAUAAUGCUUUUUAUCCUUGGUUUGUCCUAAAACGACCCCAACCGCAAAAUCGCUAGCAUCACACAUGAUCUCAAAAGGAAGAUUCCAAUCAGGUGGUUGGAUAAUCGGGGCUGAGAUGAGUGCUUUCUUAAGAGUUUGAAAAGAUUCAUGACACUCAUCACUAAAGAUGAAAGGUGCGUCCUUAGCUAGGAGAUUAGUUAGGGGUCUAGCAAUUUGAGAGAAAUUCUUGAUAAAGCGUCUAUAGAACCCUGCAUGUCCUAAAAAGCUACGGAUUCCUUUCACAUUCAUGGGAGGUGGAAGUUUUUCAAUAACUUCAAUCUUUGCUUUGUCCACCUCUAUACCACGUUUGGACACUUUAUGUCCUAGCACUAUUCCUUCCUGAACCAUAAAUGGCAUUUCUCCCAGUUCAGGAUUAAGUGUUUUUCUUCACAUCGCUGCAAGACUCUAUCUAAAUUCUCCAAACAAUGAUCGAAGGUUUUGCCAUAGACGGUAAAAUCAUCCAUGAAAACCUCCAUGAUCUUCUCAAUCAUGUCCGAGAAAAUAGACAUCAUGCACCGUUGGAAAGAAGUUGGAGCAUUGCACAAUCCGAACGACAUUCGUCGGUAUGCAUAAGUUCCAUACGGGCAUGUAAAGGUAGUCUUUUCUUGGUCAUCUGGGUGGAUUGGGAUUUGGUGAUAUCCAGAAUAACCAUCAAGGAAACAAAAGAAAGAGUGGUUUGCAAGCCGUUCCAACAUUUCAUCAAUGAAGGGUAACGGAAAAUGAUCUUUCUUUGUAGCCUUAUUGAGUUUUCGAUAGUCAAUACACAUACGCCACCCAGUGACAAUUCGUUGAGGGAUGAGUUCAUUCUUCUCAUUCCUAACGACUGUCAUUCCUCCUUUCUUUGGCACUACUUGGACAGGGCUAACCCACUCACUAUGUGGCACAGGAUAAAUAAUCCCAGCACGAUAGAGUUUGAGGACCUCUUUCUUAACAACCUCUCGCAUAGCAUUGUUAAGUCUCCGUUGUGGUUCCCUUGAAGGUGUAAAAUUGGGAUCAAUAGGGAUACGAUGAGUGCAGAGAAUGGGACUAAUGCCCGUGAGGUCUUCGAGAGAGUAGCCAAAUGCUGAUCUAUGUCUUUCAAGAACAGUGACAAGUUGUUGUGUUUCAUAAUCGGAAAGCUUGUCACUGAUAAUUACUAGAGUUUUUGAGUUGUUGUGCAAAAAGACAUAUCUAAGGCCAGAAGGAAGAGGUUUUAAUUCUAUCGAAGGAGGUGAAGGUAGUUCAUUUUUGUCUAGCUCAACGGGUUCUACCAACUCUUCUUCUUCUUGAACAAAGUGUUCAUGAUUAAAGAAUGGUUGGGUCAUCUCCACUUGAGUCACCAUUAAGAUCUCCUCAAUAGGAUCUGGGUCAAGUUUGGGUUCCACUAUCGUGUUAAUUGAUCUAACAAGAGGAACAACAAUAGUGGAAUUCCCAACUUUGAAGUCUAAAUGACCUCGUUGUGGUUGUUCUUGUAGAAGUUUCAUGAUUGGUCUACCAAUCAAGAGAGGAAUCUCCGGUAUGUCAUAAAUGUGAAAAUCUAGACAUAUUCCAGAGUCCUUGAUUCUAAUAGGAACUGCCCUUAAUACCCCAUGGCUCUCUAGAAUUAAUCUAGAUGGACUUUGUAAAAGUUUUUGAGAUGGGGUUAUAGACUCGUUGGGAUAAAGAGUGUCAGCUAACUCCUUGGAAAUAACAUUUAUCCCAACAUAUGGAUUGUAGUGGACCUUCCUAGGGGACAGAAGAAUGGUUGAAGGAGUGAUGAUUCGAGCUACCUCAGGAGAUAGCUCAGCUUCUGUUAGCCAUUCAUAACUCAGAAUAGCCGAAAGACUUUUGAUGUGUUCUAUGUCAACAGAUUCUACUCUUAGAACAGAUUGAGUGGUCCUUACUAGAGGUCGUGUUUGGAUAGGAAAAUUCGAGGUGUUUCCAUAAUCUUCAAAAAGAUCUUCCUCGAAUUCAAAGGGAUGCUCUAAAGGUGGUGGUUCAUCAUCCCUUAGUUGGUUUUGCAUUCCUUUAUCAGGAGGUUUCUCUACAACAAAAUUAAUGGAUGGGUCAGGUGGAAUUUCUAACUCGGUUACAAGUUCCUCAUCUUUUGGUUUAGGAUCAGGCUCGACUUCUUUUUCUUCUUCAGAAAACUCAUCAUAAAUGCCUAUGUAAGGGGUAUUUUCAAGGAUUCUCUCUAGGAUAGCUCUCCCCUCAUCUGUAAGUUUGUGUGUGAAUGAGCCUCCUGAAGCAAUGUCGAGGUGAAGAGCAGCUUCCUUGUUUAGACCACGAUAAAAGUGGUAGUACAGUACAUGGUCAGGCAGGGAAAGGUUUGGAUCGGAAUUGGUAAGGCUUGUGAACCUAGCCCAAGCUGCUCCUAAAGUUUCCUUCUCUCUUUGUUUGAAUGUAAGAAUUUCAAUUCUAAGGUCAGCAAUUCGAAAAAGUGGGAAGAAAGCGAGACAAAAGUUGUCUCGAAGUUCAUCCCAACUUCCAUUAACGCCUCCUACAGAAUGAGCAUACCACUUUUUUGCUCUUCACAAAAGGGAGAACGGAAAUAAUUUCCAUUUAAGGGUUUCUUGUGUCAUGCCGGAAAUAGAUCGGCAAGAACACAACUGCUCGAAUUCUCUAAGGUGGGUGUAUGGAUCUUCAUCUACUUGCCCAGAGAAGGGUUGCUCCUGAAUCAUGGCUAUUAGAUCAGGGCCGAGGUCAUAGCCAUCUGUAAGAAUUGGAUGUGAUGAUGGUGGUGGCUCUAAUAACUCGCCCUUUGGAGCAAAGAAUUUAUAGAUAGGAGUGAAAUCCAUGUGGUGUGGUGAAAAUGGUAAGGUGAGUGUGGUAAAAAAGGAAAAGAAAAAGGAUACACGGACGACUUGGUUCGAAACUAGCACAGCUACCGUUCCCCGGCAACGGCGCCAGAAAGCUUGUUGGGUAUUUUAAACGCAAAUAGAAAAAUCCGCAAGCGCACGGAUACCGAUGUAGCCUUCACCCGGGAGUAUUCCAGAGUAUCGAUUUUCCACAGGGAACGUGAGUGUACUAAUUAAGAUUCAAGAUCGCCCAAGGAUAACUAUAUAAUUAUUUUUGGUAGGAAGAGAGGAAGUUUCCUGAGAGUUCUCUAGUUGAUCUAAGAAUCAAGAAUUACUUCAAGAUUAUCUAUUUCGGGACAUCAGAACACUAACCACAGAAAGAGAUGAGAAGGGGGCUAGGAAGCUCUGACUUCGGUCCUACAAACACCGAUCCGAACGAGGUGGAAUACGUCGACCGUUAGGGCUGUCACUACCCUAGGGCUACCACAACAAUCCGCAGGAUUGGGUGCAAUUCCAGGUAAUUGCAAGACUAAACGCCACGUCUAAUCUAUUAAUUACUACUCUAAUGUUGCAAAGAUUAGAGCACUUGAUGCAAGCGGGAAUCCAAUAAAUAACUUGAAUGUAAAUAAAAGUAAUUAAAGAACUCAGGAAUUGUGAAUUGAAGAACCUGGAGAACGAUGAAGAACGAACUAGUUGCUGCAAAAGUACAAUGUUGAGGAAGAUCCGACAGAUCCGGCUCCUCCUCCGCUCUCCUCUUCUCUCUCCCUAUUUUCUAGAUUACAACUAGAACUAACUAGAACUAGAACUAGAGGAACUAGAACUAGAACUAGAUGAACUAGAACUAGAUCUAGAUGAACUAGAGGUAGAACUAGAAGAACUAGAGGGAUCCUCUCUACUUGGAUGAAGAAUUGAAACCCUAGCUUUGAUUCUGUAGAAGAGGUAUGCCUCCAGGGGCUGGUGGGGGUCUGCUUAUAUAGUCCAGGAAGAGUAGCCCCCAAGAAAUCUAGGAAGAGUAGCCCCCAAGAAAUCUAGGAAGAGUAGCUCCCAAGGAAUUUCCACGUUAUUCUCCACCAUCCGAUCAAACCGACCUUAAUCGUAUGAUUUUCCUCGAUCCUUAGAGUCGGUGGAGCAUAAUCCCCGAGACUCGUGCUGAUUGGCCAGCAGAGGAGGGCGGGCGCCCAGGGGGGUAGGGCGGGCGCCCUGCCUCCGGGCCCGCUCGGCCUCCCGUCCGUUCCUGUGGCUUCUCGAGUCUUCUAGAUGAUAGGAAAUUGCGCGGCACGUUAAUAUCUCUAUGUAAUCCCGACGUGUGGGCCUUUCCUCCAUAUUUCCUGAUAACCCCCUGCAGAAAUAGACAAACACCAAAACUCGUGGAAUUCUGUCAGAUAAAACCCUAAGUCUAGGUGUUGGUUGCAUUUGGAUCCUUUUCCAUGAUUAGUUGAUGGUUAAAUGUGAGCAUUAAGGACCGUCAACAAGCAAGAGAGUAGCAAGAGCCUAGAGAGGAUUGAGAUUUGAGUGAUUUCUUGAGAGAAUCCUUCUCUAGUGAAUUCCAAGAGUCAAGUGUGCAUCCACCACUCUCUAGAGCCUUGUUUGGGUCAAGUGAGAGUUGUUUGCUUGUUACUCUUGGUGAUCGCCAUCACCUAGACGGUUCGGUGGUGAUUGGAGGCACGAAGACCGCCCGAAGUUCUUGUGGGUGGCUCGUGUCAAGCUUGUGAGCGGUUUUGGGCGAUUCACCGCGACGGAGUGUCGAAGAAUCAGCCCGUAGAGAGCACUUGGUCCUUGCGCGGACCAAGGGGGAGCAAGACCCUUGCGCGGGUGCUCCAACGAGGAGUAGUGGAGAGUGGCGACUCUUCGAUACCUCGGCAAAACAUCGCCGAGCACUUUCUUCCACUACUCCUUUACAUUCUAGCAUUUACUUUGUGUCUUUACAUUCUUAGAAUUGCCUUGCUAGAAUAGGAUUGGAACUAGGUCGCAAAACUUUUAUCCGGUAGCUCUCUAGUCACACUAGGCACAAGGGGUUGAAUUGGAGCUUAUAGGUUGCUUAAAUUUUUAGAGAAGCCCAAUUCACCCCCCCUCUUGGGCAUCUUGAUCCUUUCAGGGUACUUGUCCUUUUAGGAGUGUAUAUUUAAUUUAUAUGGCAUAUUUCAGUUGUCACUUUUUAUGUACUCCUUACCAGGCUUCGUUUGUUUCAUAAAACUCACUUUCCCCGUGUGUAGCCUAUUUUUCUUAUAUAUGGGUUGUAUUCGUGGUGCCUCGCAUCCACAAAAAAUGACAAAUUAGAUGAAUACAAACUCAGGUACACAUGUAGAUAUGAAUAGUUGGUUGAUUACGUUUCAGGUUUGAAAACACAUUUAUAGCAUCAACAGAUUGAACUAACUGAUUAGUAGUAGUCAAAGUAAAUCAAACAAAGAUGGUUAUUAAGGGAGAAGCAAUGUGGGAGGUGCGUUCAAAUCGUUGCGAUGACCUUCAACAGUUCAACCAACUGGCACUGCUGCAUGUUGGGGCAUUAGCACCGGUUGGGAAGGGCCUGUUGUCUCGGUUCCCGAGCCGGUGCUGCCCUUCUGGGACUAAAGGCCCACCCUUUAGUCCCGGUUCGGAGAACUGGGGCUAAAGCCCCACUUUAACACCAGUUGGAAAGGGUCCUGCUAGGGUUGCCACGUUGCAGGGCCCUUUAACACUACCAACCGGUGUUAAAGGGUUUCUUUUUUUGUUCACUUCUUCAGUUAUGUUUAUUGUUUUUAUAUAAUAAUAAUAAGUUUUUCAAUACAUAUUUUUUGCUGAUACAAUAAUAUAUUUAUAUAUAUUACACGCAUAUUAAGCAUAUAUAAAUGAAAAUUAGAGGCUUAGCUUUAUAAUUAAGCUUUGCCUAUAAUAAAAUGAAUAGGCCACAUUAAAAAUUAAAUAGAUAUGUAAAAAGCUUUAUAUAUAGUUUUAUAAGUACAAAAUUCGUAACACAUAUAUAUAUAGUUUUUUCUCCCAAUGUCUAAAACCGAUACAAAUGAUCAUCGUUGUUUGGAAUAAGAGUUUCGUUGCCGUUGAAGUGAAACUCGCCGUUUGGAUUGAUCACUUGCUCACGGAGAAAUCCUGCUAUCGUCUCUUGGAUAGCUAUGAUCUGGUCUUUUUGCAUGACCUUUUCCCUCAACCAUUCUGUCUUUAAUUUGUGUUGGUGCAAAAGUAGAUCUGCAAACAUAAAGGGCUAAUACCCGAUUCAACGUUAAGGCGUGCCAGCCGAUUUGACCUUACAAUCGACAAAGGUGAUAACUCAAACACUGUGGUCCCGACAACAGCGAUGCGCCCGGAUGUCACGGCCAAGAGGUAUUCACGCGGAACUCGAGAACUUGCCGAGGUUGACUCGAGGAAUUCCUAAGAACUCGUAAUAAAAAGAAAAUAUGCAGGGUGACGAAGUCGUCGAAAAAGUAGAUGCUAGAAUAUGUGUAAAAACUUGUGUUUAAUUGAUUGUGUAUAUCUUUACAUUGCUAUGGGGUCUUAUAUUUAUACCUUGCCCAAAAGGGUUACAAUCAGACACGACUAGGACUCGAAUUCCAAAUUGAACGGAAUCCGUAUGCAAAGCAAACUCUAACAACUAUGGAAAACAUUAAUCUAUCCACCACAACCGAUCGGCACAUUAGCACCAUCCGAUUGACAAUUCCAACACCUUCUUUUGCGUCCAUCGACAAAUUACCUAUCGGCAACUAUCAGCAUCAAUCAUCGGCAUAGAUUUAUCACCACUCCUAGACUUAGUCAUAUUCUGUUGUUUUAUCAUUGGUAUCAACUCUCUCGGCAACUCUUCUGUCAACCAGUCACCACUUUAUUCACCUGCGGAUCCACGCCUCAUUAACUCCUCAGAUACGCGUCCAAAGAUAUGUGUCCAAAAACGGUGUCAACACAUGCCCCCAAUUUUGGAGUAUAAAAUCAUUAAUGCUCCAAAAUUCUCUUCAGUAAUGAUGCCUUUCCGCAAUUACUUUUUCCUGUCAGUAAUUAAUUACCAAAUCCAAACAACCUUAGCCCGGUCUUCCAGCACGCACCUCGAACCUCUCAACUUCUCAAACCGAAUCUCCCUGAUAUACGUUCAUCGGCAAUGUUUCCGUUAGAAAGGAUUGCCGAUGAGCCGACCACGAGAUCUUGUACAGUGAAACAUCCCCAAAAUCAUGACCGCUUACUGUCAAAUCAACCGCACAAUCCCUUGAUUAUCGUGCGAACAGUUACCAUAUCUACUUGAACACCCUCGAUUUUCACGGAUACGGCAAAGAGAAAAGUCAAAAAUACCCCUGCCCUCUUUGUCCUAUAAAUACUUCCUGCCUCGGCACUCUUCCUCCACCUUGUCAUUCUACAUUCACCAAACCCAUCUUCCUGGCGGCGGCAUUGUUCGAGGAACCCAAGAACUCCAGCGAGCCUCGACAGUUCUUCAAUCCGUCAAUACUCUCCUUCCCCGGGAAGAAAAUGGCCAUCAACUUCACUAUUCCUGAGGUCAAUUCUAUUCAUCUCUCCUUUUUUCUUGUCGUACUUUUAUUUUCCGCAAAUAUAUUUACUGAGGACGUUCUCUCUCUCCUUUGUUUUUUCUGUUCUUCCAACCUUAAAACCUUUUAGGAGUUGGCCGAUAAAAAUAUGAUUCCCAUCGAUCAACCCCACUUUCAAUGCCUUGGCCCAUUAGGAAAUCCAGAUCGUACCGAUUUGAUAAAUGCAGAAACAAAUAGGAUCCCCUUUAGAGCUGAGAACGUCUCAUUAGAUCUGUGGAAAGACACCUUUCGAUCCUGGCCCAGUUCUACCAAGGGGUGGAGAGAUUGGUUCCUGAGAGUCGGCAACUCAAAUGAAGUCCAAUGGGGUGAGCGCAAACUAGACCAAUGCAUUAGACUAUCCAUUGCCGAUAUGGAAAGAAAUAAAUCGCUAUUGAUAGCUGCUUCAUACUUCUGGUCAGAUAUCCUCAAUGCUUUUGUGUUUGGUCACGGCCCUGCUUCCUCUACUCUUGCCGAUGUGCUCAUGCUUACUGGUUUAGACAUAUCAACUGCCGAUGAUAACCAUUUAUAUGACCGCAAACCCGAGCGCAAAGUAGAAACCCGCAACAUCGGCGGUAGGUUAGGAUACAUUCAGAAAUAUCGAAAACAGGACCAGUCGGCCAGAGGGACUAUGCUGUUUUCCUGAACAUGUGGUUAGACAAGUUUGUUUUCUGUGGCCGAUCGAUAGGACCAACUUAAAGCCCAAGUUUGGUUUUGGUAAUUAAUGACACCAAGUUGCUAAUGCCUUGUGUUUAACUGAUUUGAGUUAGGCAUAGCAACACAUGUGAUGAAGGAGCAAGGUGGCAUGGAAUUGUGGCCACAUGAUCACAAAGAGAUGAAGCAUGAUGUGGAGAUCAUGAUGAUAGACAAGGAAGAAAGUGAACAAGGCAAAGGUAUAAACAUAGGGUUUUACUUUUGCCGGUCUAAGAUGAGUAGAGAAGUGAUUGACCGGGUUUAGGAUAGAUAGCCGACUAUCAAGAGGGGAAAUCACGGUCAUCUCUCGAAUCAAGUGCUACUAGGUCUACAUCUUGAGCAUAUGCAUUAGGAUCUAAUAAAGUGCUAACUUAAUUCCUUUAGGAAAAUAUUUGUGAAAAGCUAACACACUUGCACUUUGUUGGUGGACACUUAUUGGUGUUAGCACAUUUGCAAAGGAGAUGGAGUUCCUAGGGUUGAGAGGGGUUUGGGUUCCUCUCUCCCUCCCGCCGAGCUUGCAAGGCGGGAUUCAACGCUUUUGAGAAAAAUAGGUGUAUAUUUUCAAUUGCGCCGGUGGGAAAUUUGGAGAAGUCGCGGAAGUGUUUUUUGCUGAGAAACACUCACCAGACGCUGAGUGCGGAGGCACCGGACGCUGGCCUCAGAGUCCGGUGUGCUUGACCCUACUAGGGUUAAGCACCGGACGCACUCUGAGAGAGUCCGGUGGUUAGCGUCCGGUGUGCGGGCGUUUUGCGACCCUCUCUGCGCAUGGGUCCGGUGAGCACCAGACGCUACCGGUGCUUAGCGUCCGGUGACCCUGCAGUUUGCGGAACUCUCUGCGCAUGAGUCUGGUGUGCACCGGACGCGUCCGGUGUGGACUUGCAGAGUGUUCGGUGUGUUGCAGGUAGCCAUUAGAAUCUGACACGCGAGAUCCAAGAAGGACACGUGGCCAACUCCUAAGCACCGGACGUUGGGGUUCGAGCGUCCGGUGACCACUUGGUAGCGUCUGGUGCCCCCGUUUUCAGCCCAGUGAAAACAGCUAACGGAUAGUUUUUGAGGGGGGCUUAUAAAUAGUUGGUGGCCUGCUUUGGGAGGUUGUCUAUUGAAAAAUUGAUUACUUGAGGCAUACAUUGAGCUAGAGAACACUCCCUCCACUCAUCUCUUUGCUUGAUUGCUCAUCCUAGUGAGAUUUAGUGAGAUUCAACUGCAUUGCUUUGAGAGUUGCAUUUAGUGGCACUUGAUUCUUUAGUUUGCUGCGGAUUUCUUGUUACUCUUGGGUGUUUCUCGACACCCUAGACGGCUUGGAGCAGCGGUGGUGUUGAGCUCAUGAUUGGAGAUUGUUUCGAGCCUCACCAAGUGACUUGUGAGGGGUUCUUGAGCCGUCCCCGCGGGAGAUCGCAAUUGGCUACUCUAGUGGAUUGCUCGUGGCUUGGAGGAUCCCCAUCUUGUGAGUGGAUGUGCGGCACCCGCUGAGGGUUUGGCUUUGGAUUGCCUAUUAGCUCACGAUCCUUCAAGUGGGUGUAUCGCCACAACGAGGAGUAGCUUACUGGGAAGCAAGUGAACCUCGGUAAAAAAUCUUGUGUCAUCUCUUGCCGAGGAUAUUCUAUUGUGGUUGUGAUUGUGAGUGAUUGGUUGGAUAUAUCUCUACUCUACAACCUUGGUAUAACCAUCACUCUCCACUCCCUUCUUACUUGUAUAUCUUGCUAGUUGUGUAGCUUGUUUAGUUUAGUUUUCUUGUUUAGGAGUGUAACUAGCCUUCUCUUGUUGUUGUGCUUUAGUGUUUAGCCUUGUACUAGUUUGUAUAGGUGGCUUGCAUAACUUAGUUGAGCUAGUGCUAGAAUUGCUUCGCCAUUUGUUUUACUAACUCACUUGCUUAGUGAAGUUUGUAGAAAUUUUAAAUAGGCUAUUCACCCCCCUCUAGCCAUUUGGACCUUUCACCAACCUCUGUCAACUUAUCGGCAACAGAAAGACUCGCCGAUGGCGGCCGAUUUCCUCUCGGCCGAUACUUGCUUGGUUCUGCCUAUCAUCUUCUCCAUCAAGUAGCUGAGAAGCUCCUGUUAGGCCAACCGAUCGGUAACUUAGGAGGUCCUUGGUGGAUCAUUAACAUGUGGCUUAAUGUCCACAUGCACAAGCGUCUCCGGUUUGACCUCUUCGCGCAGCGAUUUCCAAGAGAUAUUGCUGAAGAUUAUGAACUAGCUGAUGAAGAAUCGGCAACUCGCCCACCUUUGAACUACGGAGAGGCCGCUAUAGUUCUGCCUGGUACUGGCGGCAAUGAAGACCAAGUCAGGCGAUUCUUCCAAACUCUGUAUGAGGGCCUUCCCAAGGAUCAGCGGGCAUGGAUGCCUUAUGAGGAUCUAGAAACUAGAUUCCCACUGAACUUCCAUCCUUUCGAUGAUGCUCUUAAUAAAGAUACCGAUUUGAUGAUGGCAAUCAUUACACCAAGGGCCAUUCCAGUGAAUACUUUCGGCAGUGGGAAGAACUCCAACCCUCCCUAUGAAUUCUAUAACCCAUCGGCACUGGCUCGUCAACUGGCUUUUGGGCAGUUGCCGAUUGGACUUAGUUAUGCCGAUGUGGUGAAGCCAAGGGAAACUAUAACUAGUGGACUUGAAUGGACAAGGAUAGCCCAGCUUCAACCAAAUGCCGAUACGUCAGACAUUGAUCUAUCGGGUUGGAUCCUGGCCCUUUUCAUCACUCAUGCAUACAAACAAUGGUGGGAAAAGUGGAAAGAACACAUAUUCUGCACAUCGGCUCUAACAUACCGUGGCAUGAUCGACCCUAGCUAUAAGGUCCUCGAUAACACUGUAAGUCUUCAACCGAUAUUUCAGUCCUUUUGUUACUCCUAACCUUAUCGGUAGCUUACUCUCUUCUUUCUAAACAGGUUGACAAUCCGCCACCGAUAGUCAGCAGAAGUGGAAGACCGAUUGAACUCCUCCCAUCAGGCCCAAUUUCUCUGAUCGGUAACAACGCACCAAGUCUGGCAGCUUUAAUGCACCGGAAUGUGCACUUUAAGAAGAUAACCACCAUGCGGUCAAAGAUGUCCCCAUCGGUUGCCGCUGCUACCCUGGCACAGGCUUUCAAGGUAUACUUUUGAUUUCCUUUGCUUAUACCGAUUCUGUUCCAUACUCACAUAAUCUUUUCAGGAUACAUCGGCCGCUAUGGGAACCUCAUCAAUAACCUUUAUCUUUUGACAAAAUUUCAUAAACAUUCUUUCACAUUUGUAUUCAUGAAAUCUUGGUUAUUGUAACAGCAAACUGGCAAAUCGGCAAAGACCAGAAGCACCAAAACAAGUGCCGAUGCCCCCCAAUCUAGCCAAGUCAAGAGAAAAGGCCCCAAGAGCACCAAGUCGCAACCAAAGCGCCAGAAGACAGCACCACCUUUUCCUCCUUGUCUAGUGUCGCCGAUUCAUGUGGAAUCAUCUCUCUCUUCACCAGAAAUCCAAACACAGCAAGUACCGUCCCCUCCUCAAUCAGCACCUCACCCACAAGAAGCUUCAGUCGAUGUAUGUUGACACUUCUUAACGCAACCACCGGAUAUCGGCGACGGCGCCAGAAGUGCCCUGGUAGGGUAACUCUAUUUACUAUUGGAUAAUUCCGCAAGCGCACAGAAUGUACCGCUGUAGCACUUCACCAAGGAGUAUUCCAAGGUAUUGUAAUUUAUAUUUUCCCAAGGGAAAGCGGCUAAGUGUGUUUAACAAAAAGGGGAAUGAGAUUCCUUGAGUUAUCUAGUAUCAACUAGUGAAUAAGGGUGGUAAAUAACGAAUAGGAAGGGUAGUGGUGAAUCCAAGGUCCUAUGCUAAAGGUAAAUGGUAGAGUUAGCUAGGUGGGAGGACAACGAGUGAGUAAAGGACUCCUAUGUAUCUAACUUGACUUCUGUGACUUACUUUAAUAGAUAAUUGCCUUAACUACGCUAGAGCCUUACUAACUGUGUGCGAGGGAUAGCCGAGCUGGUAAGACGCUUAGAAGGUUUUUCACCUAACCCCUUACCGAAAGCGACUAUUGGGCUUAUGGACGCCUUACCUUUUAAGAACUAGCCUGUACGUGAGGAGAACCUAAUGCCGCCCACGAUCUGUCACCUACUAGGGAGUGCGCUCCUACUUUCCGUUCAAGCCAGCGGUAAUCAAAGGUAAUCUUAAGUAUGAGCACCACGCUUACACUUAAUCCUACAACGCUAACUAGUUGCAGCUAGCUAGAGCUCCUAUACAAGAUAGGACGAUGAUGCACACACAGGAGUGGUUACAGGUCACUAACUUCACUAAGACAACUAUAUUACUAAAGUAAAUGCACAACAAGACUAAAAGACUUGCACUAAGUAAGAACUCAGUAAAGUAAAGUAAGAAUAAUAUAUUAAUAAAAGGAAAGUCUUACAAAAGUAGAAAGGUACAAGAGCUAUACCAGACUCUCCAGAAGACGACUCCGGAGACCCCGAGCUUCGCUCGACUCGACUCUAACUCCCACUCUAGACUAACUACUACUCUACUUGUAUGCUUGGAACUUGUAAUGCACUUGCCCUUGGAAUUGCACACUUGAAAUGAAGGAUGGAGGCUGCCUUUUAUAGAGGGAGAUGGAGUAGGGGUUACUCCAUCGCCACGUCAUCGAUCCGCGUGACAUCUUCUCUCCACCCUUGGAUCAAACCGACCUCACAACCGCCAUUUGAUCAACGGCAGGGGCAAAUCAACAUGUGGGACAUGUGGGGAAGGUCGGUGGGAGGCCACCGACCCUGGAACCGCCUUUGAUGUGGGGUCGGGCGACCCCACUUCUGGGCCUCUGGGCCCACCAGCAGUGUCCACAGGGGUCCCUUAUGUCGGUGGACUAGGUGGCACACCUGGGUCCCACCAAAGAGGGGUCGGGCGACCCCCUCCCUGUGGGCCCAGGGUGUCACCUGUUGUCCCCUCGAUCUCCUCUUGAUGAUUCUGAUGUUGGCUUUGUCAAAUAAUGUCUUGAAUUUGUUGUUCCUGCAUAAACAAGCUAAGAGUACAAGUGGAACUAGUUAUGGAUAAAAUAUGUUCAUGUCAUGUCGUUUCCUCUUGCAACCGAGGCAUGUUGACGGUGUUUUGUAUGUGGAUUUCUAUGGUAUAUCCACCGUCAACAAGAUCCCCCAAGCUUAACCUUUGCUCGUCCCGAGCAAACAAUCAAACUUAGCCUCGGUGGAUCAGGUAUUGUUACUAUGUUCACAUUUCAAGAGUACCAUGUGUACAACAAAGUUCUUCUCUUUGCAUGAAAAAUUUAGCUAUGUAAACUUACCCCUAUUUACCUUAGUCCCUUAUGGGGCUUAUGGCUUUUCCUUUGUCUUAGGUGGUUGAGAGGCAGAACAGUUUGACUUGAGCACUAACUUUCUCAUUCUUAGCAAGUUUCAUAUCAGAGGUUUUGUGAUAUUUUCAAAAGAAAGCUUAAAUGUUCCUCUUAUGGUUCUCUCAUGUCACUCAAAUGGUGUAUGAUUCCUCACCAAGGCAUAUGGUAAGAGUUGCCUUCUCUAUUUCAUCCUAUUUCUAAAAGGCUUAUGUGGAGUUCAAGGUAGGGAUGAAAGGAGAUAGCAUACUUACUUUGCAUGUAUUGCGAAGUCAAAGCUCGGAUCCUUGAAGAGAAGUGUCAUAAUCCCAGAUCAAGAUGUGCAAGUGUGAUAUAUGGUGGACUAGGUUGCUCCUUUAUUUGAUAGACUCUCUAUGUAUUGAGACAUGGCUAGCAUUUUUUUCUUCUUUUUUUUUUAUAUAUGAGCUUUCAUGUGCUCAAUUUUCUUUUUCUGUGGACUUGCACAUGUCCAUCUUUUUAUUUCAUUUUGCCUAGCCCUUUUGAUGUCUCAUUUACCAAAUAAUGCUUAGAGAGAUGUUCUAACAUUUAGAGUAUGGAGCAACCUAUUUAGUGGAUGCGAAAUACAUGUGGUUGCGUACUUCCAGUGUAGAAGCAGCAUAUAUAUAUGUGGUGUGUAUGUGAUCUUGAUCUUAGGAGCAUGAAAAGUCUCUUAACAAGGGUCAACAAGACUUGACGACACUCAACACAAAGCAAAUAGCUUAUGUGGAAAGGUUGCAAUUAUGUAAAGUAGAUAUGGCUGUGGUAGGAAUUCAUCACCAUUGAGGAACAAUUAAGGUUUUGAUCAUUUUAAGAAUAAAUCUCUGAUAAUCAUGCAUGCUUAGAAAAAUAUUAUAGUAGCUCUUGUCUUACUAUCUCAUGUCCCACAACAACUUAGACUUAGUUCUAGCACUUGCAACCCACAAAGUUUUUAGGUUCAUGGCAGUUUAAGUGAGCUAAGUGAUCCAUACUUAGAGAAAUACUAAGUUGUAUACUAGGCACUAGAGAAACAUUAACAAGCAACUAGUCAUAAUUUCCAUGAGGGAUAUAAACAUACAUGAAGCAUAUAUGCUAAAGGGAAAUGCUAAUAAAUAUUUAUUUAUUUAUUUUUAAGUAAGAAUGAUAAAAUGCAUGAAAAUAAAUAGGAUAGAAUACUUACCUUAGUGGGGGAGAGGAUCUCCCCCAAGCUAGAUCUUCGCUCACUGUGGUGGCGGGAAAUUCUGGUACCAUCCGGCCCAACGUUGUGCGUCUUCCUCUCGCACACGUCGGAUAUGUUGGCCGUUUUGUAACGCCAGUUGCAAUGUUGCUUCUUGCCCAAUCUGCAAUUCGCCCAUGUCAUUAAUGAGACUGUCCAUACCUGUGGGCUGGUGACGCCUAGCCCUGUCCCUUGGGCGUGGAGUGCGUUGUGGAGGUAGACCCAUGGAGUCUGAAGCAUCCACUGACAUCGCUUCAUCGCCCUCUUCAACGUCAUGGUGCGAGGAUCCUCCUUGCUCCAUCUGGGCGGCUUGCAUCAUCCUUCUUGUCACCCUGCGUGUCCCUGCAACAUCUGGACUUGCCACUCGGGCUAGUCUAAUGGUAAGUGUGCGGACCCCAUACAACCGGCGCCUCGCACAUGGGAGAGGAAUUUCGGUUGUAUAGCCCGGAUAAAUCAUUUUAAGUUCACCAUUUGGAUCUCUUAUGAGCAUGUUAGCAUUGAUAAAGAAGUUCUCAUCUACCACUCCUCUAACAUAGCCAAUGUCUUCAAAAUAAUGUGAUUCAAGUAAUCCAAAAGCAUCGGCUAUUCGAGUAAUAAAGGAUGUGAAAUAGAUGGGCUUCCCAUACUCAAUAGAGUUAAGCCAAUAGUUCACUAGCAGUUUCACAGGGGAGACCUUGAUUUUACUAACCAUGUCAUAGAGAAUUUUAAGUUCAUCAUCAAUUAAAGUAUCAGUUCCCAUGCCAGGAUAUAGAGUGCACAUGAUCCAGAAGUGAAGAAAGCGCAAGGUUGGAUUAUGGAUUUCAAUGGGAGUAGGAUUUGAACAAUCAUUAGAGCCAGAAAUUGCUUUCCAGAAUCUAAUUUUAUCGAACAUUCUAGUGGCAUGAUCUAGAUCAAGUUCACAUUCAUGUUCACACCCUAAAGCAGUGUUUAGCAAACUCCAAUUUAAUUGAUGUUCUUGCUCACACAUGCGAAAAGAUAUUCCAUUAUUUGUGAGUUUUAGGGUGCAUAGAAAUU